rnacentral:lncRNA from 1 species
UUUUGUUUUGACCUUUGUGUGGGAAAGUGAGUUGAACUGUGAACUGACGAGCUUCAUACAAGAUGCCGCUAAAUUAAUCCACUUAUUGUCAUUGUCGUACCAAUAUAACAUUAGCCUGUGUUCUGUUGAUUUUCAGCGACUACCUCUUCAAGCUUCUGCUUAUUGGUGAUUCUGGUGUUGGCAAGUCAUGCCUCCUCCUGAGAUUUGCGGUAUGGGUUGUAUGUCCUUUGUGUCGUUGUGAAGUUAUUUCGGCAUGCUGUGGCAUAAAAUUUAUCAAUUUUCUUGUUCAUCACACCGUUGGUGCAUGAUACAUGUAAAUGUGAUUUGGUGAAAGACUGAAAGUGCAAUAUGCCACUUCAGUGCAUAGUGCAGACUGCUAGCAAACAUUUACUGGUGGCUUAACUCAAAACUGUUUUCUGAAACAUUGAGUCUAACAAUGAAGGCAUAUCAUGGCAUCAUGCUUGCAUGUAUAUGCACUGCUUUCCUUCAUAAGUGUGUCUAUGAUUUAUCUGACAUGUGGCCUCAUUUAUCAUAGGAUGACUCGUACCUGGACAGUUAUAUCAGUACAAUUGGAGUCGACUUUGUGAGUUUGCUUUUCUUUCAUUUAUUCUGAAUGUAGGUUCAUGCAAUGCAAAGUAGUAAUUUCAUGAUUUCUUUACAGAAAAUUCGUACAGUUGAGCAGGACGGGAAGACCAUCAAGCUUCAGAUUGUAAGUCUUAACAUGUUAGCUUCUAUAAACUAUUUUACUGUGCCAAGUCACCGAGAACUAGCAAACAUAAAUCCUUUUUCUUAAUCUAAAAACUGUGGUCACUUAAAUCUGUAAACCUGUAUUACCAGUUCCUUCCGUUCCUGACUAUGAACUAAUUAUCUUCUUAGAGUCACGACUUUUCCAGCCUUUUUUUUAAAUAACUUCUAUUCAAUCAUUACAGUGGGAUACUGCUGGGCAAGAACGUUUCAGGACAAUUACCAGCAGCUACUACCGAGGAGCCCAUGGCAUUAUCGUACGUUGCUCACAUAGCUAAUAAUUAUUCUUCAGUGUCCCAUGAUAAGUAUAUAACUUUGCAUUUUAUUCAUGGAUGUGCAGAUUGUAUAUGAUGUCACAGACCAAGAAAGCUUCAACAAUGUAAAGCAAUGGCUGAAUGAAAUUGAUCGUUAUGCAAGCGACAAUGUAAACAAGCUCCUUGUUGGGAACAAGUGUGACUUGACGGCAAACAAAGUUGUGUCAUAUGAAGCAGGCAAGGUGAGUUAUGGAAUAAACUGUCCGUCAUAAUUGCGGGAAUGUAUCUUGUGAAUCAAGAGAGUGGUAACAGAAAUGGAAUUUGUGAUGAGGUUUGGUUAGGCUAACUAGUGUGAACAAAUGUCAAAUCUGAAUUGCGACUUAACCCUUGCUGAUUCUUUGCUAUUAAGCACAUAGGUUUGAUUUAUUGUUUGCUCAUAUUAUCUUCGCACAUCAUGUCUGUUAGGCUCUUGCUGAUGAGAUGGGCAUCCCAUUCAUGGAGACCAGUGCCAAGAGUGCUACUAAUGUGGAGCAGGCUUUCAUGGCUAUGGCUGCAUCCAUUAAGACCAGGUACUUCAUCACAACUCAAAACUUAUCGAAUAAUGAUGACCUGUUAUGAUCAUAACCAUGGUCUUUAUUGUUUCAGGAUGGCUAGCCAACCUGCUGCAGCUAAUGCCAGGCCACCAACCGUGCAGAUUCGUGGCCAGCCCGUUAACCAGAAGACGUCCUGCUGCUCUUCCUAGAUUAUUCAUUUCUUUCAGUUCAUGUAAACUUUGAUGCACUGUUACUACUGUUUGCUUGUGAUGCGUUUGUAAUAUUCCCUGUUAAUUGUCUAAAUAGCAUUUUUCAUAUAAUUCAAGUGAUCAAUUAUCUUGACUGAGCACUUCAGUGUCCGUUCUUGUUUCCACAUCUAAAUUGCUGUUGCUGUGGCCCACAUGGCAAACUAACAAAUCGAUUCUGCCAGCAAAAUCUAACCUGCUAACUUCUCUCCAAUCUUUUGUUCUGCCGUCUUUGUUGGUCGAUUGUGUGUGUCGGGCAAGGCUUACAUUCCUUUACAAGUCUGUUGAACAAAUGACUUAAAACGGCUGAGCUUUGUAUUCUCUGGGUACUCCCAACACCUGACUCCAUUGAAACGAGUGGCUCCAAAGAACGUAAAUCAGAUAUGCAUGCAAAUUACAUGACAAACAAGUUCACAUUCAUGAAUGAACGAAUGCAGCAAACAAGAUCACCAAGCAUGUGGAAUCAUUCAGUAAGAGCAUCAGAUGAUAAAUCCCAAGAAAAGAUCAAAAGAAAUCCCGUUCAGAAGGUCUAAUUCCCAAGACUCGGCAAUACAACAAUUAGGAAGGUCUAAUUCCACUGGAAUCGUAAAAAUCUGACAUUGUGAGGACAUAUAUGUCGUGGAAAAUGAAACGAGCAUGGAGAGUGCCAACCCUCUCCUCACAUUACAGAGAUCUGCUAAACGUGAAAGGUACUAUGCAGAUAUGUAACCAGCGUCCCAAGACAUGAUGACCACCCACGAACUGUACAGUACUCCUCCCUUCCUCAAUCUUUGGCGUUCUGCAAAGCAACACAAGAGAGAUAUUGUCAUAAGCACGAAGUGGCCACACGUUUCAUAAUUAACUGGAAAAAAUCGAAACAUUUCCUUGCACUUAUGUUGAUCAUUACAGUAAUAAACUAGAUGUAUGCCAAUGCAGAGGAAUUCCAAAUUCUUUGAAAGCUAACAUUCAUCACUGUACAGUUGUUUGUACUAAUGGCCCUUCUCAACACUAAUUUCUGGCUUCCGAACAUAGUUGUUCAUGUUACUAAAAGAAGCUGUGUAAACCAACAAUAAAAAAUUGCCACAGCAACAAGUUUGUCAUGAACCAUGACAAUGACACUGCAGAUGAGCAUCACGCUGUGCAUUGGGCAUCUGAACGAACUGAUAUGAUGCAACAGGAAGGAAAUGACAAACAGUUUGCCUACAGUUUUGAACUAAAUUUGAAUACAGAAACCAAAUAGCUAUUAUUUGUUUGACAAACACACAUAAUGAUCAUAAUUCUAUAAUACUUUUUCUGUUCAAUUUCUGUGCAGAUUGUUUCACAAAUUCAAAAUCCUACACAGAUGCAACAGCAAAAUUGGGAAGACAUUCACUCUGGUGGUUGAUCAAACAACAGAGUUGCAGUGACGAACCCAGGAAGGCAAUGCAGCUAACUACUGGCAGACAAUAACUGUGCGAAAGACCAAACUAGCCAUGCACUGGUUUAUACUUGCAAAUAAGAUGAUCUAUUUCACAUGCUGCAGCCACAAAUCAUCAAGUGACUAAGCUCAAUUAUCACCAACUCUGCAACGUUAAUGUCCAUAUUUCAAAGUUUUGCAUCAGAUUAGCAUACAGAGACCAAUUAACCAUCAUCUGAUGCACAAAAACGCACAGCAGUAUCAUUUCUAUUGAAAUCUCCUGUUCAAUUUCUCUGCGGGUCGCCCACAGAUUGAGAAAAUACCACACAUCAAAACAGGACACACAUUAUUGCUGAAAUGACUAAUCGAACUACACAAAGCUGUCGGACAAUCCACAACUGAAUCCAAGUACCGUGCAAAAUUCAGAUGCAGCAAACAUAGAUGGAUCAGGAGGAUCACAUACCUUACGGCCUUCCUACACCUCGUCCUCCCAGUCAUCGUCCUCCUCACUGCAACAAACCCCAGAAAAACAGAUCGCAACAUCAUCAACAACGCUCGAACAGAUCGCCGACACAAACCCAAAUAGAUCAAAAUCAAGUGGCGCACGCGUACCAGUGCCGCAUGGCCCGCAUGUAGUCCGCGGUGCUGCUCCCGACGAGGCGGAGCGUGCGCUUCCCCUCAUUCUUCCUGCACGCGGACAUCGCAAGCAUCACAAAUCAAACCCAUCAAAAUACCGAAAUAAUCCGCAUGAAAUUCACCGUCACGCGGGCACUCCAAGUUGCAAUCGACAAGAGGAAGCAAUGGACGCAGAGCAACAAGAUACCUGUGUCGUGUGCGGCGGUCAAUGAGGGGGCGGCGGUCGAAGGGCGACUUGAAGCGGGUGUAGCGGAGUUCGUCGUCGUCGUAGUAGUCGUAGUUCACCGCCUUGUCCAUCUUCGCGAGAUAGCGCUUGACCUUCUUCACGGCGACGCCGGCUCCCCCUCUCGCCUCAGACCAGGGGAUCCCGUGCGGGUGGAAGCCCUGGGCGACCUCCAGAAAACGUGGGCUCCCGUACCCAUCUGCAGCACACGCCGAGCAAGGCAACCGAACGAAAUCCGUCAGAGAUGAAGCAACCAAGCAAGCCAAAUCCGCGAGGAAACGAAGCAACCAAGCGAAUCCGCGAGAAAACGAAGCAACCAAACCAAAUCCGCGAGAAACGAAACAAUAGAACCCAAAUUGGAAGCACAUUAGGAUGAUCAGAUACGAUCGGGCAGCGAACGUACAUCGGUAGUACAGCACACCAUCGGUGAGGGGAGGAACGAGCUCGGUGCGGGAACCAAUCCCUAGCCUUCCGACGCUAGGAGGGCGGAGUCUGAGACGAUGGUGGCGUGGGUGCGGAAUUGAUCUCGUGUAAGGCAAGGUGCAGAACUCUCCUCUGUUCUCUACUCUCUUCUCUGUGAGACUGUGUCUGCGAGGGGAGGAGGUCACGUGAUCCAUAUGGAGCAAGAAGACACGAGCACGCUAUGGUUUUGGACUUCGAAUUCUUUCUUCUCGUACAAGACAGCACAAUGCGCGGGGACUAUGUGUUGUAGUGGAUGACUUGUGGGGUCAGGAGAGUAUUGGUUCCCAGAGUUUCUGGGAAAGUGGAGAGGCUUUGAGCUUCUGGGUAUGGAAUGGGUGAGAAUAAACAAACGCAGCAGUACUGGCGCGAAACCCAGGUUGUUGAGCCAGGAAACUGGUCACGUGAGAGGCGCUUGUUGAUGUGGUUGGGCCGCGUUCCAGCCUUCGAUGAAUUUGAAAGGAGAAGAACGUUUUUUUUGGGAGAAAAAGGAGAAUGUUUGUCUCCAGGGCUUCGGCUGUUUUGCCCGAUACUCGGGUUCAUGCUCGGUGGGCUUUCACCUUACACUUAAAAACUGUUGGAAUAUUUGAGUCUAGCCCAUAUAAAUUUAAAUAAUUUCUAUAAAAUUUUAAAGGCAUAUUAGUGCAUAGGUGCAUGGUAACAAGUUAGUCCCAUCUUGUUAGAAGAGGUGGAGUGAAUCUAACUUAAAUAGUUGGAUGCUCUCCAUGCUCUUGCAAGCGUGGGUGAGAGGAAGAAGGAAGAACAUACGCGUGCGUUCGCCUCGCCUCGCCGGGCUUCGGGCGAAGGACGCGCGCACGCGACGUGCGCAUGAAUGGUCCGUCAAAAUCCGGAUCCAACCCUUACGGGCAUGCGGCUUCUUUUUGCCCAUCGGCUCUCCGGUAUCGAGCGAACUGUUACGGCUGUAAAGAGCCGAUCGUUCUCGAUCCUGCACCGGGAGAGGGCGAAUAAAGUUUUUGGGAAGUGCUCUACGCGACUGCUCGAACGCUUCCACAUCGCCGUCCUCUACGUCCUCGUCACCACUGCUCGUCUACCUCCUCGUCAGUGGGGUGCGUGGAGGUGCUGAUCAUCGUUGUCGUCAUCUUUGCCUGGUUAUUCCAGUCACACAAGACACGUACGGUUUUCUAUCCCUAACUAUACUUUUCAUACCUAGUAUGAUCUGGUCAGGAUUGAUAUUGCUGCUGCAAUAUUUUAUCUUAAAUUAUGUUAUGAGCAUGUUUAGAUCUAUUCAUUUUCUGUACGUAAUUUUCAUCAUGGAUUAAUUUAAAACUGAAACUCCUAAUUUUUUUCAACAAUCCAAAAACCUUAUUAUAGGAAUUUCAGUUUCAUGGCUGGAUUUGUUGAUGCUCUGAGACCCGAGAAGUUCUCUGGCGAGCACUUUAAGAGAUGGCAAACGAGAGUGAUUCUGUGGCUCUCUGCCAUGAACAUGCUGUGGGUGUCUAAGGGAAAACCUGAGGGGACUCUCACCCCUGAAUAGGAGAAGGCCUUUACCGAGACCAACACACUUUUUGUGGGCGCUGUGAUCGGUACACUUGUAGAUCGUCUUCAGGAUGUGUACCUCCAUCACACAGACGCUAAAAAGUUGUGGGACGCCCUGGAGGCCGACUAUGGCGGUACAGAUGCUGGCGCUGAGCUGUACAUCAUGGAGCAGUACCAUGACUACAAGAUGACCGAUGGAAAAUCUGUAGUGCUCAUGAGAUACAGUGCAUGGCUAAGGAGUUUGAGCACCUCAAGAUCAACCUACCCGACAAGUUUGUGGCUGGUGACAUCAUUGCCAAGUUGCCUCCUUCAUGGAGGGAUUUCGCCACUAUUCUCAAACAUAAGAGGAUGGAGAUAUCAGUGUCUAAUCUGAUAGCAUCCCUUGAUGUUGAGGAAAAAGCUCGGGCUAAGGAUGGACGAUCUAAGGCUGCUGAGGGCCAGACUAGCGCCAAUAUGGUGCAAAAGUCUCAUGGCAAAGGCAAGGGCAAGGGAAAAAAAACAAAGCUGCAGCCUACCACUACUUUCAAGAAGAAGAAGUUCAAGGAAGGUCAAGACUGUUUUGUGCGUGAAUCUACUGAUCAUUGGGCAAAGAAGUGCCCACACCGCAAAGAAAGGAAGCCUUCACCUAAGCAGAAGACUGUGAACACGAUCACCAUGGCUGGAGUGGAAACCAGUGGGUAUACUUCUAUACCUUCGGUUUUUUCAGUAUUUCAAUCUACUAGUUGGUGACUUGAUACUGGUGCAAAUGUUCAUGUGUAUUCUGAUGCUACCUUGUUUUCUUCUUACCAGACCGUUAGAGAUUCUACCAUGAUGAUGGGCAAUGGAUCGCAUGCUACUGUUCGUGGUGUUGGCACGGUCGAUCUGAAACUUACUUCGGAAAAGAUCGUGCAGCUGAAGAACGUGCAGCAUGUCCCUACUAUCGGUAAGAAUCUAGUUAGUGGCUUCCUUUUGUGUAGGGAUGGUUUUAAAGUAGUGAUUGAGUCCAAUAAAUUUAUCAUGUCUAAGUGUGGAUAAUUUAUCGGUAAAGGCUAUGAGUGCGGAGGCUUGUUCCGUUUUUCAGUGUCAGAUUACUGUAAUAAGUCCGUGAACUUAAUUUCUGAUAGUAUAAAUGAGAGCGAUGCAUCUGUUUGGCACUCGCGUUUAUGUCAUCUGAAUUUUGGCAAUAUGUUUUGACUUUCCACCAUGAGUUUAAUUCCGAAUUUUUCCAUAGCCAAAGGUUCUAAGUGCCAUAGUUGUGUGCAAUCUAAGCAACCUCAAAAACCUCACAAGGUGGCAGAGGAGAGACAUUUGGCCCCUCUAGAACUCGUUCAUUCAGAUAUCUGUGAGAUGAGUGGCGUGUUAACAGAAGGUGGAAAAAGAUAUUUCAUGAUCUUGAUUGACGAUGCAACUAGAUUUUGCUAUGUGUAUUUGUUGAAAAUGAAAUAUGAGGCUCUUAACUGCUUUAAAAUCUAUAAGGCUGAAGUAGAAACCCAACUUGAGAAAAAGAUCAAACGACUUAGGUCCGAUCGAGGAGGUGAAUAUUUCUCUUACGAUUUUGACUUAUUCUAUGCGGAACAUGGCAUGAUUCAUGAGAUGACGCCUCCCUAUUCACCUGAAUCAAACGGGGUUGCCGAAAGGAAGAAUCCCACGGUGUCUGACUUGGUUAACGCCAUGUUAGAAACCGCUGGAUUAACUAAGGCAUGGUGGGGGGAGGCAGUAUUGACUGCAUGUCAUGUCCUGAAUAGAGUUCCCAUGAAGAAUAAGAAACAGACUCCUUACGAGGAGUGGAUUGGGAGAAAACCUUCACUCUCUUACUUGCGCAUAUGGGUUUGUUUGGGCAAGGUGAAUGUGCCAAUCAGCAAGAAAUGCAAGUUGGGACCUAAAACUGUGGAUUGUAUCUUUUUGGGUUAUGCACAUCAUAGCAUUGCUUAUGGAUUUCUAGUAGUUGAAUCUGAGGUGCCUGAUAUGCAUGUAAAUUCACUGCUUGAGUCUUGUGAUGCUACUUUCUUUGAGAAUAUUUUCCCUAUGAAAGACUCGCAUGCUAUAUGUUCAUUACCUUUGAAUGAAACAGUGAAUACAACUUCUGAAUCUGUUGAAUUUUCUGAGCAUGAUGAACACACACUUGAAUCAAAUUAUGAUGAGAUUCACAGUGAUGCUCCUAGGAGGAGCAAGAGGCAAAAAACUAUAAAGUCUUUUGGUGAUGAUUUCACUGUUUAUCUUAUAGAUGAUUCUCCUAAAAUAAUCACUGAGGCAUACUCAUCUCCUGAUGCGGAUGAUUGGAAAGAAGCUGUCCGUAGCGAGAUGGACUCCAUUCUCUCCAAUAGAACUUGGGAGCUGGUAGAAAGACCGUAUGGUUGUAAACCUGUGGGUUGCAAGUGGGUGUUUAAGAAGAAGCUUAAGCCUGAUGGUACUAUUGACAAGUACAAGGCUCGUCUUGUGGCUAAGGGUUAGCCCCAGAAAGAAGGCGAAGAUUUCUUUGAUACUUACUCACUUGUUGCGAGAUUGACCACUAUUCGUGUUCUACUCUCCCUGACUGCCUCGCAUGGUCUUCUCAUCCAUCAGAUGGAUGUUAAGACAACUUUCCUCAACGGAGAGCUGGAAGAGAAAAUCUACAUGACACAACCUGAUAGUUUUGUAGUAGAGGGUUAUGAGGAUAAGGUGUGCAAGUUGUAUAAAUCUUUGUAUGGCCUGAAGCAAGCACCUAAGCAAUGGCAUGAGAAAUUCAACUCGACACUCAUAUCAGCAGGUUUUAGUGUCAAUGAGGCUGAUCGAUGUGUGUAUUACCGCUAUGGUGGGUGCCAAGGAGUUAUAUUGUGUUUGUAUGUCGAUGAUAUACUGAUCUUUGGCACUAGCCUUGAUGUAAUCAACAAGGUCAAGAUAUUCUUGUGUCAAAACUUUGAUAUGAAAGAUUUUGGUGAGGCUGAUGUUAUUCUCAAUAUCAAGCUGAUCAAGGGAGAGAAUGGGAUUACUCUUUCGCAAUCCUAUUAUGUGGAGAAAAUGUUGAAUCGGUUUGGCUAUAAGGAUAGUAAAUCUAGUCCAACUCCCUAUGAUCCGAGUUUGAUCCUUCGAAAGAACAAAAGAAUUGGCAGAGACCAAUUGAGAUAUUCACAGAUGAUUGGCUCACUCAUGUAUCUUGCGAGUGCAAUGAGGCCUGACAUCUCUUUUCCUGUUAGCAAGUUGAGCCGGUUUACUAGUAAUCCGGGAGAUGAUCAUUGGCAUGCGGUUGAGCGCGUAAUGCACUACUUGGUGGGUACUAUGGAAUACGGGAUUCACUAUUCCGGUUUUCAUGCAGUACUGGAAGGAUACAGUGAUGCUAAUUGGAUAUCGGAUGUAGAUGAGCUGUAUGCCACUAGUGGAUAUGUUUUCACUCUUGGCUGUGCUGCUGUUUCAUGGAGAUCAUGCAAACAGACGAUCCUGAUGAGGUCUACUAUGGAGGCAGAACUCACAGCACUAGAUAUAGCUGCAGUGGAAGCCGAUUGGCUUCGUGAGCUCUUGAUGGACUUACAUAUUAUCCAGAAACCAUUGCCGGCAAUAAUGAUGAACUGUGAUAAUCAAACUGUGAUUGUCAAGGUAGACAUGUCAAAGGACAAUAUGAAGUCUUCAAGACAUAUCAAGAGACGGUUAAAAUCAGUAAGAAAAAUGAGAAACUCCGGAGUUAUCACUAUGGGUUAUGUCCACACUGAGAAAAAUCUGGCUGAUCCGUUCACCAAGGGACUGUCACGUAAUGUGAUAGACAAUGCAUCCAAGGAGAUGGGUUUGAAACCUGUACAAGCUAUUUCCUAGUGGUAACCCAACCUAUAUGAUCGAGAUCCCGUGAAUUAGGAUUUGGGAAGAACAAGCUACAGGUUAGCAUGAAAGUAACCUUUUAUACUCACUCGAGAAGGAUGCAAUACUCUCGAUUACUGCAUGGCAGGUUGGUAUUGGUCUUAAUGUAUUCUGUUGGCUUUAAUUAGCAAAGACGUUAUCCUGCAGAACGUUCUUGAAAGAAUACACCUAUGUGAGCCCGACUGUUGGACGGUCGUAGUCUGUGAGAUUCAGGUAAUCUCUAUUAAGCUCAUGAAGAGACCAGAAAGUACGACCGAUAUGCUCCAACCGCGAAGUAGCCUACUGGAGGUCAAGUAUCAGUUUGACUGUAAGUGAAACUCAUUUGUACAAAACUUGCAAUUUAAGGCUUAGUCCAUUGUUCAAGUUAUGAAUGAGUGUAACUUGCUGUUCUAGAUGGAAGUUCAACUUAACAGUCUCCAUUGAAACACUGGUAUAUCAAACAACAGUGGGUUGAGGCAAAGUCAUAAAUAAGACUUUCAGAUCUGGUGAGGGAUUGUUGGAAUAUUUGGACCUAGCCCAUGUAAAUCCAAAUAAUUCCUAUAAAAUCUCAAAAACCCAUUAGUGCAUAGGUGCAUGGCAACAAGCUAGUCCCACCUUGCUAGUGGAGGUGGAGGGAACCUAAGUUAAAUAGUUGGAUGCUCUCAAUGCUCUUGCAAGUGUGGGUGAGAGGAAAAAGAAAGAACACACGCGCGUGCUCGCUCGCCUCGCCGGGCCGGGCCGGGCCGGGCUCGGGCUCGGGCUUCGGGCGAAGGGCGCGCGCACGCGAUGUGCGCAUGAAUGGUCCGCCAAAAUCCGGGUCCAACCCUUGCGGGCAUGCGGCUUCUUUUUGCCGAUCCGGUAAAGAGCCGAUCGCCUCUCCGGUCUCGGGCAAACUGUUACGGCUGUAAAGAGCCGAUCAUUCUCUUUAGUCUCGGGCGAAAGAGCCUAUUGUUUCCUAUGAAUCGGCUCUCCGGUCUCAGGCGGAGGCUGUAGAAAGCCGAUUGUUCCCCGACGGCUUCUUUUUGCCACUUUGAAUCUGUUACGGAUUUCACGUGCGGAUUUUUGGGACUCGUAACCGACUAGGUUUUUGGGACGCCAAAACCCUAACGGUUCUCCUUAUAAAUACGCGCGGGUGCCGGCACAGAGAGAAGCACAACAGAAGAAAAUCUAAGACGCACAACACGCCUCAACCUACAUGCUGCGCCCCCGCGUGCGCUACUUCAUCCCGUUCGUCGGCGUGCACCGGCGAUCGGGAGAGUAGGUCUCCGGAACCUCAUCCUCAGCGAUUCUGCACCGGGAGAGGGCGAAUAAGGUUUUUAGGAAGCGCUCUGCGCGACUGCUCGAACGCUUCCACAUCGCCGUCCUCUACGUCCUCGUCACCACGGCUCGUCUACCUCCUCGUCAGUGGAGCGCGACUCGGCGUCGUCAAGCGCGCGGAGGUGCUGAUCAUCGCCGUCGUCAUCUUUGCCUGGUUAUUCCAGUCACACAAGACACGUACGGUUUUCUAUCCCUAACUAUACUUUUCAUACCUAGUAUAAUCUGAUUAGGGUUGAUAUUGCUGCUGCAAUAUUUUAUCUUAAAUUACGUUAUGAGCAUGUUUAGAUCUAUUUGUUUUCUGUCCGCAAUUUUCGUCAUGGUCAUGAUUUAUCUUCGGAUUAAUUUAAAACUGAAACUCCUAAUUUUUUUCCAACAAAAACAGCCCACUAAAAUGACAAAUUCACCUUCCACUAAAAAAAGAGAGGGGAAGAAAAAAAAAGACAACAAACGAGAUCACCAAGCCUAUGGAAUCAAGCAAUAGGGUUAUCACAGGAUAAAUCUCGAGUAAACAAAGGCUAACAGAAUACCAAGGUCUCUUUUCAGUGCAGGCAUUGGAGAAGAAUCUGACAAUUUAGAGCAGAGGAGACGAGCAUUGAGAGCGCAAAAAUUAUUACAGGCCAGCUCUCUCCUCGCAUUGUAGAGAUUGCAGAAAUGUAAAAGGUACUAUGCAGAUAUGUAAGUAGCCCAGCGUCCCAACUCCCAAGCCAAGAGACUUCCAAAGAACUAUACACUCCUCCCUUGCUCAAACUGUUGGUUUUCUGCAAAGCAACAGCAGAUAAACGUGGUCACAAACGAGAAAUGAUCACACAUUUCAGAAAUCAAAUGAACUAAUUUAAAAACAUCUCCUGUUACUGCUGAUGCUCAUCAUUAGUAAACUAGCUAGAUCAUACAGAUAAAAGUGGUCAAUGCUGUAAUAUUCAGAGUUCUGUCACUGCCAACACAUAUAUGCCUUGGGCAUAUGAUGGGCUUGAGCAGAGCUAAGCUACAAUGGUUGUGUAGCAGUAAUUAAACAUAGCCACGUCGUUGUAUUUGGUGGUGGAUUCGGUCCUUCAUUCUUAACAUGAAUGUACUGGUAAACAGAAUCAGGCAAACAAAGCGAAGAUAAAUAGUUCACAACAUAUCAUUCAUAUUAAAUGGCAGAGACAUGUUUUUUCUUCUCCUUUUCACAUGUUUUUUCCAACAUAUAAAUAGCAGAUACCAAUAUCGGUAAUCAACAGUGAUAAGUUUAUAAUUCAGUGGAAGAAUAUAGGUGUGCUAAAGAAAAUAACAAGCUCCGAUAUAAUUGGACAGUAAGGACAUGAAUUCAGAAUGAUCUGGUCGGUGCAAUAGGAAGGAAAAACAGACUUAUCACUCAAGAAUCGAUUUCACAUGCUGGCAAUCACAAGUCAUUAGCUAAGCAAGUUCAAUCUAAGGUGAACUCCAUUGUAUCACUGCCAACUAUUUCAGAGUUUGCACAGGCAUGCAAUGGUAAGGUAACCAUUAUGUGCGACAACAAAUGAUCCCUGUUCUUAGUAGUAAAUGCAAACACGGGUGUUCUUUUGCCAAGGAUAACCAAGAAUGGAAAUGACCACAUCAACAAUACUACAAGGCAGUGAAAAGGUAACUGUGCAAGAGAACGGGACAAGGGCUAUGAUGCGACGGGAAGAAAAUGAAGAUCAUUAUAGCCUUUUGUUUCAGAAGAAGAGAGAAUUCGUCCCGAGAGGCCAAGACUCUAUUACACAUGCUAUUCGUCACAAAUCAUCAAGUAACUAUUCUCAAAUUAUUGUAAACUCUUCAACAGUUCAAGUCCACUAUUUCAGUUUUCUUUGUACUAACUUAGCAAACCGAGGCCAAAUAACCAUUAUGUUUUGCACAAGACCACAUGGGGAUCUCAAUUACGUGGGAACAUCCAGAGUUCAAACUACCAAAAAGGUGCAGGUACAAAACUGGGAACACAUUUUUACUCAAAUAGUCUGAUGACUGAUCAAACACAAAUCUGCGGUGACAAUCCAAAAACGAAACAAAACGAAACCCAAGUACCGUUCAAAGUCCGUUUCUACCAAUGUUGGAAAUAGCCAGCAAUAGCUCCGCUAUAGCCCGCUAUUAGCUUUUUAGGAAAUCUACCACUACGCUAUUCAACAUUUGUCUGCUACAUCCGCUAAAGGGGUUUUACGAGGUUUAGCAGUGCUAAAUGUCCGCUAAAGUGGCUUAUAUGAGAUUUAGUAGCGCUAAAUGUCAUGUUGCUAGUAGAUUUUAGUGGUGUCAUUCCUCAAAGACAUAGUCAAAAGAACCGAUAGAAGUAAAUGAACGUAGUAUGGACCCUAGACAACGUAGCAUGGGCACCGUUGGUCAGUUAAAAGACAUGUUAGAGUUUAUUUUUUGGUGUUAGACCAAUAAUGACUAUAUUUUAAAAGUGAUUAUUGAUUAUUUUAUUAUUCCGCUAAAUGAUUUAACUUUCGCUAUAGCCCGCUAUAGCUUUCUAUAGCUUUUAGAUAAGGCUGCCGCUAAACUUCAUAUCUCACUGUUUAUAACAUUGAUUCCCACGGAAGAAAACAAAUGAACCAUAGGUGCCCCUGUUUCGCAUGCUGCUAGCAUAAAUCAUAAGUUACUAAGCUCAAAAUUAUGACCUAUUGUGCUUCACUAAUGUUUGCUAUCUCAAUGUUUGACCCUAAUCUAGCAUAAAGAUCCAAAAGCUAUUAUGUACACUUCCCCAAUUCAACUUCUCUGUGGAUCGUCCACAAUUGAAACAACCACACAGAUGCAAGAGCAAAACUAGUAACACAUGUUUGCUACAGAUCAAACAACACAAGGAUGUACAGACAAGACAACCAGGAUCCAACUAUUGUGCAAAAUUUCAGAUCCAUAUCAGAGAACAACUACGGGAUAUCGUAGGUUUAUGCAGAGGCUAGAAAUAGCAGGAUCACAACCUGAUGGCCCCUCCUACACCUCGCCCUCCCAGUCGUCGCUGUCAUCAAAAUCACCAAAUGCAGCCUCUUCACUGCAACAAUCACGAACCAAAACAGAUGGCAACGUCAACAACAACGCUAGAAUCACAGGGUCCUCGUUCGUCGACACAAACCGAAACGACCAAAUCAAGUGGCGCACCAUUGCCGCAGGUAGUCCGGGCUGCUGCUCCCGACGAGGCGGAGGGUGCGCUUCCCCGCGUUCUUCCUGCACGCAGACACACCGCAAACACCACGGAGUAAACCCAUCAAAAUUACCAAAUAACUCCCCAAAAUUUAUCGCCGCACGCGUGCGUACAAACCAACAAGCAUGAGCGCAAAGCAACACAGCAUACCCGAGGGGCGGACGACGGCCGAUGAGGGGGCGGCGGUUGAACGGCGACUUGAAGCGGACGUAGCGGAGAUCGUUAUCGUCGUAGAAGUCGUAAUCCACAGCCCUGUCCAUCUUGGCGAGAUACUUCUUGACCUUGUUCACGGCGACGCCCGCUCCCCCUCUCGCCUCGGACUUGGGGAUCCCGCGCGGGUGCAAGCCCUGCACGAUCUCGAAGAACCCAGCGCUCCCGUAUCCAUCUGCAACCCCGAUCGAGGUACGAAAUCAAAUCCGUCAGCAACGAGCGACCAAACCAAAUCAAAAGCUCGUUGGGAUGAUCAGAGGCGAAUUGGGCAGCGUACAUCUCUGGGAGAAGGCCAUGGCGGAGGGGGAAGCCGGCUUGGUGCGGGAACCCUAGCCUCCCGUCGCAGUGGGGACGAAGCGAAGAGCCUGAGACGAUGGGGUGGGUGGGUGCGGAAAUGGUCGGCGAGGAAGGCGAGGUGGGAUGGGUUUGGAAGACGGUGGAGGGGGUUUAGCAGAACUCCCUCUUUGUGGGGGAGGCCACGUGACAUGUACGGAGCAAGAAGACACGAGCUCGCCCCUUGGUUGGGCUUCGAAUUCUUUCUUCUCAGACAAGACAGAAAAGAAAGCGGGAACGGUCGUGGUCUUUAGUCAAUGACUAGUGGGCUCAAGCACAUGUGGUCCCACAGUAUCCCCCAACGCUCUGGCCUUCGGGUUAGCAAAUUGGGUGACAAUAGAUAGAGCAGGUGGUACUGGCACGAAAUGCAGGUGGUGGGCCCGUAACAGUGGUCACGUGACAGAUGCUUCGCGGACUGGUUUGUGGGCGCUUCGCACAGAAAGAACCGAGUACCUCCAUGGGCCUGAAUCGUCAUGGGUUUGUGUGGGCCUGCGCUUGUAUGGCCGAAAUACGGCCAGGUUCGUCAAAAGAACCCACCACUCCCACUCGCGAUUUUGUGCGCUGCUGCCUCUGCAGAGGAGCAUCGGCGCUCCCUCCUCCGCAUUUCCUCAAACACUUCGCGCGCCGCCGCCACUCCCGCCGCCGCCGCCGCCGCCCUCCGGCCACCGGCCUCCCCUCUAACCCCCCACAAGGCCCCAACCCGACCCCCCUAGAGAUGCAGAAGGUGCGGCUCAAAUGGGUGAAGAACCGGGGCCUGGACCACCUGAUCGAGCGCACCACCUCCAUCCGCGCGUCCUGCCUGCUGCUCGACCACCUCGCGCGCCUCCCCACCUCCUCCCCAGUGCCGGCGCGCUCCCUCGCGCGUCUCCAGAAGCCGCUGGGCCUCACCGUGCCCGUGCUCCGAUUCCUCCGCCGCCACCCCACGCUCUUCGCCGAGCAACCGCACCCGCGGUUCCCCACGCUGCCCUCUUUCUCCCUCACGCCGGCCUCUCACACCCUGCUGGCCCGGCUCGCCGACGCCUCCGCGCGUGACGCGCACGUCCGCCUCGCGCGCCUCCUCCUUCUCACCCGCUCCAGGUCGCUCCCACUCGCCUCCGUGCUCCCUCUCCGCUUCGACCUGGGCCUGCCGUUUAACUUCGCCGCCGCGUUCCCUGCCUCCCACCCCGGUGUCUUCGCCGUCGCCAACAACCGCAUCUCCCUACUGUCCGCCUCCGGCCUCCCCGAGGACAUCGCCGUCUCCUCCCUCCAGCGCCGCCACGCCGCGGCCAUCGACUCGGCGACCUACCGCGCGCUGUCCCGGCCGCCGUCCUCGUCGAGCGCCCCACUCGCGUUCCCAAUGCGAUUCCCGCGGGGGUACGGCGGGAUGAAGAAGGUCAAGGCCUGGAUGGAUGAGUUCCACCGCCUUCCCUACAUCUCGCCGUACGAUGACGCGUCAGGGAUCGACCCUGAGAGCGACAUCUACGAGAAGAGGAACAUCGGUUUGCUACAUGAGCUGCUUGGGCUAUCGGUGCACAAGAUGGUGCGGAGGAAUGCCAUCCGGCUGCUCCGGGAGGAGCUGGGACUGCCGCACAAGUUCACUAGGUUGUUUACGCGGUACCCUGGGGUGUUCUACCUGUCAUUGAAAUGCAAGACAACGACUGUGGUACUUCGAGAGGGGUAUGAGAGAGGCAAGCUCGUGGAACAGCAUCCCUUGGCAGCGGUGCGGGACAAGGUGUAUUAUGUAAUGCGCACUGGAGUGCUGUACCGCGGGAAGGGUUUGUCCAAGCUUGUUCUUGAUGAGGAUGUUGCUGAGGAAGAGGGUGAACUGGAUGGAGAGGAGUUUCAAGGGGAGGGAAUGGAUGAAGAUGCUGAUGUCGAGUGCUUUGGGAUGGACAUCGUGGAUGACGAUGGGCCUGCUGAUGAUGAGGAUGAUGAAGGCGAUAGUGAUGGUUGACAUGGGCUGAUGAUGCUUGCCUUCUGAACUUCUGUUGUGGGGGAUUGUAGCUUCAGCCAUUAAUUCCAGUGAGUGGGUUCGAUUCGACUUAGUGGCUCCAAAUGCGAGGUUCUGCAAAGCAUAGUAGACUACUGUGAGUAUCAUGUUCUGUCAAAAUUUUGGUGUAUGCUACAUUUAGCUGCUUAAGAAGUAGCAAGCUAAUUUAAAUAUCUAUUUUCUUUGGUUGGUUCUUGGUUGGAGCAGUAGAGCAUUACUUGUGGUUCUGUGUAUAGCAUGAGAAUUACUAGCAAUUCCACAGUUAUGAAGAUAGUGAAGUCAAUUCUUUUAUGAUCUUGUAUCAUUUGUAUGAAAGCUAAGGUACGUGCAAAAUCAAAUAGGAGUUACCUUGGCUUUUCUGAUUAGCCAAAGUGCCUUCUCUGCAUAUAAUAAGGUAAGUUUCCUCGCCGAUUGCCAUUCUACCAUAGUCUAUUCCAGAGAUUGCAUUUGUUUCAUUAGUCUAUACUUCACAGGAUUUUCUUACACUCAUGCUAUAGGGGAAAAACCUGACUCUUAGUUACAAUCUAAUGCUUGGGUUACCUUAACCUUCAACUAUUUAUUGAGGCAUUCAGCUAUAAAUAACCGAACCCAAUUUGAUAUAGAAAGUGGGAUACUGGGAUUCUCACCUCCAUUGUCAACAGAAACUCAAAUCAGUGUAUUUUAACCUUCUAUCAUUUAUUGAGGUACUCAGCUUUUUGGAGAAGCUUAAUGCCUUAACCUUCCUUAGAAAGACACCGUGGACUUUUAUCAAGGUAAGUAGAGGUCCUCUUUACUAAGGUGUGUGACGGUUUUGAAUUGAUUUAUUUAGGUUUAAACAGGCCACCAACAAUCUACACGUAAUGCUCACAAGCUAAACAAAUCUGCUGACAACCCAACGACUUCAGUGAUCCUAACCGAGUUCCCUAACAAACCAAAGUAAUCCGAACCAAACUUCCUUACAGCCAAGUGAAGGGAAAUGAAAACUACAACACCGUGCUGGCACGCUCCCGCGUCGUUCACACUGACCCGCUCAUGACAGACUUCUUGGUGCCCUGGCCAUAGAUGCAACCCCACAUAACACUCCUAAUCUCUGUAUAGGCUCUCAGCCUCUCACCAAUGAUGGUCAUGGGUGUGGCAAUUCACAAUGUUGCUGACCCUUGCUCCUCGCAAUCAUUCCGGCUAAGUAUCAUGUUGUUGACCCAGGAACCUUUGCAAUCCCAUGACAACAUUUGGAACACAGUGGAAUCAAAUUGCUAUGAGAGCUGUCUCGCUCUCUUUGUGGACGUGGUAUGUUUGUGCUCUUUCUGGUUUUGAAUUGUCACCGUGAAGGUUUUUUGUGAAAUUAAAUAUAAGAUACUAACAAUUUACCUUACUUUCUACCUAAAUGCUGGACAUUAGUACAUUACUAGCUCUCUUAAUUGCCUGUUUGUAAAUUCCUGGAAAGUCUCACAAUCUUUUCAGAUUUCCUAGUCGCUUAGAUGUGCAGCUAGUACCUUCAAGAAUUGAGAAGCAUGUGAAUAUGCUCUUGUGCCUCAAAUAAUGCAGUUGAUCUUGUGUGGUAUGCCAGGCAGCCAGCUUCUUAGCUCCAUAUUGGCUUAUCAAAUAACAUAUCUGUCAGUACUCUGUUCUAAUGCGUAUAUAUACUUGUAUAUGGCUUUCUUGAGUUCAUAAUUUUUUUUGAAAAAAUAAUAUUGGUGUUUCUUAAUUUGUUAAUAUUACAUCUCAUCUUUUUUAUUUGUUUACUAUCAUUGUAUCUUUUGAGAUGUGGCUGAUUUGUGUAGAGCACUCACUUGCAAACUGGCAUGAGUUUGACCUCUGUCCCAUUAUCAUUCACAUCUUGUAGUUUUAGCUAGAUUUCUUGCUUGCUCUGCCUAAAACACAAUUUAUGUGCUCUGUUAGCAUGAUUCUAUUUGUGAGAGCAAAUAUUAGAUCCAUUCAAUAUCAAACUGUUUCCGCUGCAACCAACAUGCCAGUUUACACGUUUUUCUUGUAAGCACCAUCUUAUUUGGUUAAGAAUAUUUUCAAGUUGUUGGAUGCCCAACAGUGUGAUCCACAAAUAAUAAGUUUGUUUGGAAGUGGUAUUCUAAACUUUCCCAGCAAUUUAGUACAUUUCUUAAUCCAUAGGAAAGCGGAUGGAAAGAAGUGACAUUUCUUUGUCAUAUAUAUUGAGGCGGAUUGGUUGUCCUAUUUGGAUUAAUCUCUCUACUAAAAUUUAAUAUGUUGCCGUUUGCAAGUCUAGUUCAAGCCCUGUUUGGAGCUCAUGCUGUAGCUCUCGGAAGAGCUAAUCUAGACCAAGCUUAAUUCCAAUGAUGCUAUGUUAUCCUAUUUAAUUCUAUUAAAUUUAAUUAAUUAUGCUGCUUAUGUAUCCCAGUAGCUAUCAGCCUGCUUUAGUUUCACGACACUCUACUUGAUUGAGAGUUGGAAAAGAGAAGGGAUCAAUUAUUCUUUCCAUGCAUUGUAAACUAAUUUUUUUUUUGUCUAUUGCAUAAGAGUUAUUGAGCAACACAAGAGCAUGGUAUCUUGUUGAACCCAGAGCAGUUGUUCAUGAUCAGUGAUUUUAUUUGUCUGAGCAAUCCAUUUGGAAUUGACAAUUUUAGUACUUAUUUGAACUGCUUGGUGCUUAGGUGGUGCAGUUCACUUGAUUUUUACCUGGUGCGCCAGGAUUUGAAACAACAGCUACUUUAACAAGAUCCUUCUCUGUGAAGUUUCAUUGUUUGUGGUACUGCCUGUUAGUCACCUAAGACGCAGCUUAUGCGGUUUGCAUACAGUCUUAUUCCUCUUGUUGCAAUAUUUAUUAAACACAAUCCACUAUCUUUUGUGUUUCAUUUCCAAUGGGAUGGCAACAGACUAUUAUCAUAAUAGCAAUAGCAGCACAGACCAUCUUUGAGAUGUUCUUUUGGCAUUUCACAUUUAGCUAGUGACAUUAAAUUCAUAAUAGGUGGCAACAACAUUCUAAGAAGAAAGCAAUCCCUAGUGGACUCUCCAUUUUUUAUUUUCGUUUUAGUGUUAUUGAUCCCUGAGAUUCGUGUGUAUUAGGGCCUGUUUGGAUCCAAUGGAAAGAGAAAGAGCAAAAUUUUUGCUCUUUUGCACUUUUUUUGCACUUUUGGAUCCAAACACCCCAAAGUGCAAAAGGGCAAAUGCUACUGUAAUUUUGCUAAUUAUGGAUUAAUUAGGCUUAAUAGAUUCGUCUCGUCAUUUAGUCCUCAUCUAUGUAAUUAGUUUUUUAAUUAAACUAUAUUUAAUACUUCUAAUUAGCGUCCAAACAUCUGAUGUGACAGGAGCAAAAAUUUUACCAUUUGCCCUUUUUACCAUUUGCCCUUGGAUCCAAACAUAGCCUUAGAUUAGUUUUGCUGCUUGCAUUACUUAAAUACCGACUUUUGGUAUUGUAUUCUCCAACAUGGCAAAUAGUAUGUUAUUUCUGCUGCUUAUAAAACUGAAUUCCCCAACAUCACAGUUGGACCUCUUUUUUUCAUAAAACUCAGGCAGCCUAGUAUAGCUGACAAACAAGAAGUCACCAACUAAGAAAACAAAAAUAGCUCUUGGUGUUGUGUGUGUGAAGCUGCACGGCAGAUCCAGAGGCUGCAACUCUGCUGCCUGCUGUGCAAGAGCAACCAUGAUGAACUGUCCGGCUCUUCAGGCCAAUGCUUCUCUUGACUUGUCACGGUGGCUGCGAAGGGGAAACCCCCAUAGCCUCACGUUCCCACAGCCUUUUUAUCAGGCUAAAAAGUAGCUGGGCAUCAUAGGAGAGGUGAGAGCAGAUGCAUGCCCCAGAAGACCACAAUUGGGCACUGCACUUUCCUGGAUUCCAGUGCCCAGAUGGAUGAAGGGCCAGGGAACAACCAGAAAAGGAGGAAACCAAUUUGUUACUCUAUGCCAAUUUGCCAUGAACUUUGUCAAAAAGAAUCGGCCGGGGGGCCACUGGUUGUGGGCUUGUUGCUUGAGUAGGGGUAAUCCCAAUGCCUCAUACUACCUUAACUAAUGGGGCCAGCUGAUAUUAGAAUGCAAAGCUAAUCAUUACAUCAUGCCUCCUCCCUUAUGAUGAUCCUUGGCUUUUGCACCCUGCCUUUUUCUACUGUUCACAGCAUGCAUCAUAUUGCCUAGGGCAGAGAGCAUAUUAGGAAAAACUACUAGAAGGAAAUCAUCACGGAAAUAUUCAGCAGCUUACAUUAUGAAACCAGAGCUGUGGUACCUAAACUAGUGAAUUUACUAUUAAAUCCACGCUAUAGUCCAAAAUAUGUUUACCCCAUGAAAUUCAGCAAUUAACCAUCAUGUUUUUUUGAAGAUAUGAACCUAGCAAUUUCUUAAGCCUGCUGGCAUGAACUUAGAAGGAUGGAGCAAUCUAAUUCAUGACAGUGGCAAUUUUUUCCAGGUCUUCUUUCCUGCAAGCUCACAUGAAAAACAGAAGCUAUCAUUCACACCGUAUGCUGAUCAUAAAACUGGAAGGUGCAGGUGUGCAGGCAGCAGGCAGAGCAUGGAAACUGGACACUGGACAUCUUGUUGCAGAAUUGGGCAGUGUGGAAGCAUGAGAAUCCUAUGAAUCUGGUACCUGCUGAUCGCAUUUGCAUGCACAUAUGAAUAUAUGAUGGGUUGUUAACUUGCUAUCCAGGAUUCCAGGUCCGUGAUUCGUUUCUGGCCGUCUUGGAUUUUCCUCCCUCCCUUUUUCCUGCCUGUUCUGGUUUUUGACAUGUCCGCUUCGGCAAUACGUCAGAUCUAGUUCAAGUCAGGUCACUUCAGUUUAGAUCUCUACAUGCUAUGCAAAUUAUUUAGGAUUCGGUAAAUGGCUGCAGACUCGGCAUCUCGUGUCGUUGUCGAUGCGCUAGUUUAUUUAUAGUGGGUUUGUUUCUUGCCACCACCCGGAUAAACUAUUUGGUCUAUGUGCCUGGGGUCCUGUAUGGAGUUUUCAUUGGUCCACUGACAUAUUACAUUUAUGCAAAUUGGAGGCUGCUGUUUUUCUCUACCACCAACUUGUUUACAGUUUCUUCGAUUAGACGAAGAUUAGGUCUAGUGGCUUGGGACAAAUAGAAGUUGAACAAAAUUACAUGCCAGCCCGAGGGGGGUUGGGUAUCUUCUUUUUGGCAUAAUGAAAUCGCGCAUGCGGAUGCCCUGCUUGCUAUCCUGGAAAACAGGAAAGCUGCCUGAAGAGUGUUCGACAUUAGAGCAACAAGUGGUUUCAGUUGACGAGUUAUCAUUGGGACUUUUCAUGUGCUUUAACCGAUAAUCGUUUCAUUAUUGUUCGAUAAGCUUCUGUGUUCUUUUUUAACUAAUUGUAUAAGUCUAUAUACUCUCAGUUUGCUUCAUCCACUGUCCAUCCCAGAUACCUUAUUCUGAUGCUCUCCAAAAUACUUUUGUGAAGGUGCUAGUAAUACAGCGACACACGGUGGUGAUGGAUCAAAAGAAGCCUGAGGGAAACCUAAUUGUCGCGGUCAACAGACAAAACCGGUCUAAAAAGCAGGACGGUUGCUGUGCCAUAUGGUCCUGCAGGGGUCAUUAGGGCACGGGAGAAGAAAGGAGGGCAAAAGGAGGGGAGGACAGGACACCCUACGCUGGGUGAGUUGACGAGUUGUCCUCUUGUCCCCACAACCACUCCCGCACCGAGCUGCGCAUCACGGGCUAUCACCACGCACCUUAUCGUAUCGAAAGCCAACCUAUGUGCCGUAGAUCCUUUGAUUACUCUGCUAAUUGCGCUCGCUAGAAAGAUGCUGAGCGUUAUGCGCACCUGGUACGGCACAUACCGAUAAGAGACGCUGUUGAUUGAUUUUUGAGGAUGUGACUUGCUCCCCGUUCUGUACAGCGUACAUGCACGAAACGACUCAUAUUCUCUAGCAAUAUAUUCUCGCAUAUAUUGAAGCCGAACCUGUAAGGCUGCAAUAAAGGAUCGUAGAAAAUUGGGUUUUGCAUCUCAGUAUUGAUUUAUCUUUUUUUGUUUGUUUCUGAGAUAAUGCAGGAGCCUUUUCGUCUUUUCCUCGCUAAAGUUCCACGAUAAGCAUGAUUAAAGAGUGAACAUGCGGUUAGGCGUUAUAAACGGCAUCGCCCAGUGGGUCAGGCCAGGCAUGGUCCUUUCUUUGCGUGAUUGGGACAUUGGGUUUGGGUCGCAGGACUCGCAGCACCCCAUGAAGAAGAAGGGAUGGUGACAGAUGGGUCCCAUGUAGUCCCAAAGGGUUGCAGCAUGGUCCGGCGCCCCGGGCCCAAACGUCUUCGAAUGCUCCGACGCAUUCGGCAUUUCAAUACAGCAAGGUACUUAUGGCUUUAAUUAAAACCAAUAGCUUUAUAUUCCCAAUUAUAAAUAAUUUAUUUGUUUACGGUACACUUUUAUUUUUAAUAUUUCCAUUUGCAAAUAUCCAGUAUUGAUCAUGUUUCAUAAAAAAACUGCAAGCCUAACCUUUGCUGGAAACUAAAGAAAAUGCGAUACUAAGAGAGAGAAAAAUCCAUAGAUGUUUAUGUUCACUUUUUUUUACCUCAGGCGCUUAUAUUAUUAAGAUAUCACAACAAACACGUUAGUUUCCGAGGGUUGCACGAUGUGCCGUGGACCACCCUGCUUACUGCUCACACAGAAUAAAUAUUUUGUGAGUAUUAUGUAUGGAUAGUAUAUAACAUCUAUUUAAGAAAUACGUCAUCCCUUCAGUUACAGUUAAGUGACAUAUUGGGUUAUUUUAAGUCAAUUAUUUAAAAUUUGGUUGCAUAGUUUAUUUCUUAUGUGUUGAGUUGUUUAUGUAUUAAAACAUAAUACACGUAGAUUUGUCUUUAGAGUAUACCUUUUCUUUUGAAGCAAUGUCUUUAGAGUAUACUCAUUUUCUUUAGUAAAAUGUCACUUAUUUUUGUUCAAAAAAAUGUCACUUAUACUACAACAACUGACAACUGUUUCCUCUUCAACUCAGGUUUUGCUUAAUAAAAGAACAACCAAGGACCAAAGUGAACAAAGCUGCGUGAUUAGUGAAAGUGAACCAGAGAUUAGCGGCUGGAAACACUGCUUUAGGAACGUACUCUAGGCCUGUAGCAAACUAUAGCACCCCACGCGUGGCCCCUUUACUGCAUUUUCUGCAUGUUCCAUUAAUUUCUAAAGGUGAAACGGGGAAAAAAAAAGGCAAGCGAAACAAAUACGCCGCCCCCACCUUCGACUCCAAGCUGAGGCAGAGCUCCACAACAGUUACCACGCCUUUCGCCUUUUCUUUUGUCCUCCACUCCACUUCCCCUCCUCACGAGAGGAGAGAGAGUGCGUGCGAGUGCGGAGCCAAGAACACGGAGCGCCCCGGGAUCUCCGCUUCCCCCCGAUUCGAGGUGCUUCUUUCUUCCGUUUCGGGUAAGCUUCUUGGGCCGGUGUGGUUCUUGCUUUCUUGGGGAUGCGCUGGUUUCCGCUCGUCUUCGUUAGGUUUUUUCCCCCUAUGAUGUUUGUGUGUGGGAAAGAUCUGAAUGCGGGUUGGGUGCAUUUCCGGGUAGCAAGUGGGACAUUCGGGUGUGGUUCUUGCUUCUUGGGAUUUUGCCGCGGUGGGGGAGUCGUGGGAUUUAAGCAACGUAGGCGUAAUUUGGUGGCUUGUUGUUUUCGCAAGAGAGUAAUGUCUGAUCCGGUGGAUUGAACGGCACCUUUUGUGUUUCGACAGGGUGGAGUUCGUCCUACUUCCGGGAGUUGCUUCGCUUGGUGCUGCCCAGAAUUAGCGCGGAAGCAGGUUGGAUUCUUGGAACUCUUUCGAUUGAAGGGAAAUUUUGGUUUCCUUCAGCAACUUAAUCUUUGUCGUUCUUUUUAAAUAAUGAAAUCUUUGUGCUGUUUGCAGGUGGAGUGCUCUCUGCGCUGAAAUCCGCUCACCGGGUGCCAGGAAACAGGCGGUUGGAGAGAAUUGCUUGGGAAUUCGCCAAGAAGCGACCGAAUCUUUGCAGGUGCUUGUGCACUUGUUAUGCUGAGACUGAAUGGAGGCAGUAGAUAAGAUUGCCGAGCCCAAAGACCCUUUGGUGCUCACUGCUCGGAAGGUUCAGAGCUUGGAGCCACCGAUACCUAUAAAGGCGUCGUGGAAAGGGAAGAACUCCCAGCAGCAAGAAGAGAAGGAUUUGCCAGCUGAUGGUGAGGAGAGCUUCCGGAGCCUGGAUUCUUCUGAUGAGGGUGGCCGGAGCUCCUUCUCUGGGGCUAGUCACCCUCCAGAGCCUAUUGAUAUGGAUAUUAUGAAGACAGUCUAUGUUGCAAUUGACGAGGAGAAGUCCGAGCCACCGGUGUGUUUAGUGCGGGGAGUGUCGAUGAAGGGGCCUUUCAUGGAUGACCUCUCGGUCCGUGUCACAGGCACAAAGGCAAAUCUGGUGGUAGGCGCCGGCACCGCCGAAGGUUUGGCUGAAGAGAGGAAGGUGUCUAGUUCUGCAGUGGCAUCACUGGCCACAGCGCGCUCAUCUCAGGCUACCUCUUUGCCUCAGGACUCGGAAGAGAAGGAGUGUGUCUGGGAUGCUUCACUCCCUCCCAGUGGCAAUGUCAGCCCUCACAGUAGCAUUGACAGCAUGGGUGUGGUCACUGCCAUGAGCACCCUUAACAGCUGUGCAAGCACUUAUAAAAGUGAAGCUGUAGCUAGUGAAGGAAUGCUUGCUGUGGAGAGAAACUUCGAAGGUGUAAAGAGUGUUCGAGGCGACUUACAAGAAAGUGCAAAAACUAGCAUGAGUCGAGCAAGUGAUAGCAGUGGUGUUAGUGAUGACAGCAGCUGGAGCCAUAUAACUGGAGGUGCCAGCAAGCCUCACAAGGGGAAUGAUCCUAGAUGGAAAGCAAUUCAUGCUGUACGAACUCGUGAUAGCGUGCUUGGAAUGAGCCAUUUUAGACUACUCAAGCGUCUUGGUUGUGGUGACAUUGGCAGUGUUUACCUCUCAGAAUUAAGUGGAACUCGGUGCUACUUUGCAAUGAAGGUAAUGGACAAGGCAUCCUUGGCAAGUAGGAAGAAGUUAAAUAGGGCUCAAACUGAAAGGGAAAUUCUACAGCUUCUGGACCACCCAUUCCUCCCAACCUUGUAUACACAUUUUGAGACCGACAGGUUCUCUUGUUUGGUGAUGGAAUUCUGUCCGGGUGGCGAUCUGCAUACUCUGCGACAGAGACAACCAGGGAAACAUUUCUCAGAGUAUGCUGCAAGGUAAUAUAUGUUAAGUAUGAUAUAUUCUUCAGAGAAAUAUAACUUGUUUGGAGUACAGUAGAUGAUUUCUCAUGUACGCCUUGUAUUACUGAAUGCCUAUUAUCAUAUUUUAUUCACAUUCACCUGCAGAAAGAAAAUUCUAUUCACAUUCACCUGUAGAAGGAAAAUAUUAUUCAUAUCCCAGGAUCUUCUUAAUCUAUUUUAGUAAUUUACUAGUAGCUUUACUGACAAAGUGGUUUAGUGUUACCAUCCUAGUCUUAUUGCGCUUUUUGGAGAAUCUAACUUUUCCCAGUUAUGCUCUCUCCAAAAUUCUCAAAUAGAGUCUAAUAGCUCUUGAGUGGUGUAGAGAACAAAGUGCACCUAGGAAGGUAUCCUUAAAUGUUUCCUGAAUUACUUUCAUGGACUAAAAAUUUGUACAGCAGGGCCCAUGUCAUGAGUAGCAUCAAUAGAGAUAUUAGGUCAUGCUAGAUUCUAGUUUUGUUACAUUUGUUUUACAAUUCAACAGUUGCCAGUUAUGUUGAGUAGCCUAUACCUUCUCGUAAUUGCAAGCACUAACAUGGAGUGCUCUGAUUCUUGGCAGGUUUUAUGCUGCGGAAGUACUUCUAGCCCUGGAGUAUCUACACAUGUUGGGUGUUGUGUACAGGGAUCUGAAACCAGAAAAUGUCCUUGUGCGUGAUGAUGGGCACAUAAUGCUUUCAGAUUUUGACCUCUCCCUAAGAUGUGCAGUCUCACCUACACUCAUCAGAACAUCAGCUUUUGAUUCUGAUCCCAGAAGAGCAGGUGGUUCUUUCUGUGUACAACCUGCUUGCAUGGAACCUACUUCAGCGUGUAUUCAGCCUGCAUGCUUCCUUCCCAAAUUCUUCGGACAGAAGAGCAAGAAAAAGACUAGAAAGACAAGGUCUGAGUUGGGACAGAAUGCUGGCACCCUGCCCGAGCUUGUUGCUGAACCAACGUCCGCUCGGUCAAUGUCAUUUGUCGGGACUCAUGAAUACUUGGCACCUGAAAUCAUCAAAGGCGAAGGCCACGGAAGUGCUGUUGACUGGUGGACCUUCGGCAUCUUCCUUCAUGAGCUGCUGUACGGUAAAACCCCAUUCAAGGGGUCAGGAAACCGUGCCACACUGUUUAACGUGGUUGGUCAGCAGCUGAAAUUCCCAGAGUCACCGUCCACAAGCUACGCUAGCAGAGACCUCAUCAGGGGUCUCCUGGUCAAGGAACCACAGAACCGCCUAGGAGUGAAGCGGGGAGCGACAGAGAUAAAGCAGCACCCCUUCUUCGAAGGCGUGAACUGGGCUCUCAUCCGGUGCAGCACUCCACCUGAGGUCCCAAGACCCGUUGAGGCCGAGCUGCCAGUGAAGUAUGGUGUGGCCGAGGCAAUCGGGAGCAACAGCAAGAGGAUAGUUGGCGCGGACGUGAAGUCGGGCGGAAAGUACCUGGACUUUGAGUUCUUUUAGAGUAGGUUCCCAGUGGCUGCUAUUGUUUGCUUACUGUUGGUGUAUGGUCAGCUUGAUGUUGUGUGAUUCGAUAUGGUGGUUUGUGUCUCACCAUCGGUGCAAAAUUAUCAGAUCUGAAUUGACCAGAAUUAGAUAGAUGUGUUUGCCUACUAAAGUCUCCACAUUUUACAUUUCUGUAGCGGUAGACAUUCUCUAAAGCCCUGAACUACUUGCUCACUGGUGCAUUGCAGUAAAAACUGAAACCAGUAGGGCGAAACGUUCUCGUGCUCAUACAGAUGCAGAAAUAUGCUGAAGCUGUUGAGAAAUGCUUCCUCUUUGCUGCUUGCUUAAUGCUUACUAUGCUAUAUGCCUAUAUUGCUAUGCACGCGUUGACCCUUGAUGAGUCCCGGCGAGUGUCCCAGAAAACGGUGCUGGGCCUGGCUUAUGCGUCCGCCGCCCGUGAGCUUGCCGGCCGGGUUGCGCUUGCUCCUGCCCGUGCCCCGUGACGGUGUGGUCAUUCGAGGCGCACACGGGCCGCUGGACCGGACCGCCGGUUCAUCAGGGAGGCGGUUCUGGCCUGCCUUGUGGCGGCGCCGGCAGGUAAUGCUGCCUCGCCCACCGGCCACCGAUUGCAUUUACGGAGCACAUCACACGCGAGUUGACGUGUUCUCCAACGGGCUUUGCCGAUCGGCUGAUGUCAGUCAUCCGCGACGGGCGGACGCUGGGUUGGUGGCUGCCGUCGUCUCUUCUUGGCUCCGCCUACGAAGUUUUUUUUUUGUGCAAAAUGAACGGGCGCAGCGGCGAAAGCAAGACACGAGCAGGUGCAUGCCACAGAUCGCCGCCGGCGACGUGGUAAACCGCGGUGGAAACAGACGCCAUGGAUGUGUCCUCUGGGCACGCGGCGCGUGUUCGGCACCAGAGAUCAGGACUGCCGAGCGACUGCGGCAUCUCCACAAGCGCAUCACCUCGUGUCGCGGUGUUAGCUGGCGCUCGUCGCUGGCCAAGCGAGGCCCUCCUCUCCUUCUCCUGAGCCGGCGGACCACCACGGCCUUCGCCCCCCUCCCGGCUUCCGCGCCUCGCGCCGGCGCCAACGAGGAAAAACGCUUCCCCUGCACUCAUCUAAUCUGAGCCGCAGAAAUCGGAUCGGACGGAUUUCGGGUACACCCGGGCGGCAUCUGAAAUACCGUCCACCCGCUCGGCAUCUGAAAUACCGUCCACCCUGGGGCGCCGCCCAGAGACGCCUCCCCCGCUUCAUGUCGUGCCUCACCGGAGCGCUGCCGCUGUCCCGCAGUCCCUUGCGCCCCGUGGCUCCCUUGCACUUCCCUCCUCUCGAAGACCUCGCGGCCUGCCCUCACGCGACAAGCACAGCACGAACGAUGGCGGCGCCGUCGGACGCGGCCAGGACGAUACGGAACGUCGGCGUGGUGUGAGCGUCCAAACCGUCGACGCGGGCAGGCAGUGCCGCCGCGCGCCACCGAGGCCACUGAUGGAAUGUAGCAGAUCACGUAGAAGUUGGAGCUUUUACCAACGUGCGUGUCGAGCGGCCGCCGGCGACGCCGGCUGGGAGUGCUACUCGCUUCCACCCCCACCGAUGUCACUGAUAUUGAUGGUGUAGCCUUCAACUCUCGGCGCCUGUCGCCGGAGACAAUGAAGGAACCCCUGGAACACCUGAGGACGCACGCGCACACGCGAGAACGCAAUGGACCCAGAGUUUUGGUGCCGCAACUAACUAGCUAGGUUUUUUCAAUUGAUUGAUAACAGAUUUAUGAAAGUGGCUAAACUGUGCCACGACGCUGCGAUUCUCACACCUCCACUUCGGCCGCGCCAUCCCACGACUCAAAGACCUGAUCAUCACCUCCACUACACCUAAAACCUGACCAAAACAAAGGAGAGCCAUUGCAUGAAUCCAUGCAGAGUGGCCUGUACCUUGACGCGCUCAAAGUGGCUAAGAAUGAGCUCCUUUAUUCUAACUAAGCCAUGCAAACCAACCGAGCCUGGAUUAUCCAACAGAUGGAGCCCAUCACGCGGAGUUGCAGCGUUCUACAACGGGCUUGUCCGGCGGUUGAAGUCAUCUGCGACGGGCGGAAUCGCGGAUGCUGGGCUGGUGGCUGCCGCCGUCUCUUCUUGGUCUUGGCUCCGCUGGUCAGCAAUAGACUCGCAGCGCGCGCAGCGAAAGUAAUAAACGAGCAGGUGCAGGCCAUGGAUCGUCGACGCCGGCGUACUAAACUGCGCUGGGAACAGACGCCAUGGAAGAGUCCUCCGCUGCAGACGCCGCGGGGUCGGCGCCGGAGACCAGGCCCGCCGAAUGCCGAGCGCGUGUGGCAUCUCCACAGGCACAUCCAUCACCUAGGGUCGCAUCGUUAGCUGGCGCUCUUCGCCGCCCACGUCAGUGACCCACCUCUGCUUCUCUUGAGCCAGCGGACCGCCACGGGUCCCCAGCAUCCCAAAGCGAUUUUACCGAACGCAUGUUCUCAGCACUGACUAUCUCAACCGUUCAUCCAGCCUCGUGCGUAAUCCGGCGUUCCUGUAUUCGGUCUGGAUUGGGUGUGUAUCCGGCGAUGGGAUGAGAGAUCGAUUAAAGGCUUAAGAUAAAAUGCAUUUCCAUUUGUUUGUUUUUGAGAUUUAUUAACAGGAAGGAGCUGGUGGAGAUCCUGUACGGCUAACUAUGACUGAGAGCGGCGAUGCUCGCGCGUCAGCCGUUGAAGAUAAAACUGGCGCGUCAGCAGUUGAAGAUAAGAAUACGCAGCAACCUAUGCCAUGGCAAUCUUGGUACACUGCAAGGUUCUUUCUUUCUGAAGUAGAGUUUAGUAGAUUUUGAAACAACCUAUUGGUAGACUGCAACUGCUGUUACUAUUGCUACUGCUACUGGUAGCAGUAAAGUGAAAUUUGAUUUUUGUACAGUUCACCUGAUGGGAGAGAAUCGAUGCUUGGUCUACUAGGAGCAGCAAGUGAUGAUUACAGUUUUUAUUCUAUAUUAGGCCAUCCAAUGCCCCGGCAACUUAUGGCUUCUGAAGGUUAAGAAAACUAAAUACUGCAGACUUUGUUAUACCAAAACCUAGUCUUACAAUAAUAACUCUUCCUCAGGCAACAAAGCAAUGGGGGAUGAAUGUUUUAAUGUAGGGCAGCUUACUUCUGCCCAGUCUGAGUUAGAUGCACUUGGGUCAGGUGAAACAGCUUUUUAUACAAACAAUUUUCUAACACAUAAAUUUUUUUGUUUGUAACAUUAUUUCAAGUUUCUACCAUUUGAUAUUUUUUUAUCAAAUCAGGGAGGUAUGGUUCUCUUCAAGGGUUGAUUCAGUCUUUUAAUUCAGCAAAGUUUGGUGCGUUAACUGAUGACAUAGAUGGGCUUAGUUCACUGCCUGGAGAUAAAAAUGGCUGCGACCCUACAACGUCGAGUGAGACUAAUAAUAAUUGAUUAGAGAAUAAAAAUGGUGCAUUCUUUUUAACUGCAGUCUUCCCAAUUCUUGCGCCACUGUGGUUGGUACUUGUUCUAAUGAAACAGAAGCAAAAAAAAAAACAACAGUGGCGGAGGCACCGUCAAAGGGAAUCACUAUAAGUGUUUUAUGAGUCAUUGUGCUUGACAAAUUUCAAUUCUCUUGCUAUGUAAUACCUGCAAUUCAUGUGUGUGGCAUUAUGAGUUUGCCUGUGCCUAUCUACUGUUCCAUAUAUGCAUGCAUACCGAAAGCAAUAUCAAGUAAAUUGGUGACAACAUAUCGCUAGUUAAGUCUAGUCUCAUUUACCUUAGUUGAAUUACUCACGAGUGCUUUGUGCCAUGGGCUUCAAAGCAUGUUCCUUGGUUUAAUAACUUGUCGUGUAUACUUGUAGGAGAACUUUUGGUUCAUGUUAACUAACAACUAACAAGCAGUAUGUAGAAUUUUGGUCUUAAUGAUUAUAUUGAUUAAUAUACAUCGUUUCAGCUUCUCACAGCUCUUGGUUCCUUUCCCAUUUUUACAUCAUUGCAGUUAUGUUGCUUAUAUAAAAAAUGUGUUUUUGGAGAAAAAAUAUUAAAAAAUGUGUCCUUUCUUGUGUAUUCCACUCUGAUGGUUCUUUUUUCAUACCUAUGAUGUGUUAGGUUUCGAGCAAUGGUGAUUAUAAAUCCGGGAAAUCCCACUGGCCAAUGCCUUAGAGAAGCAAAUAUAAAAGUAACUUCUGCAAUUUUGCUACCAUGAAAACUUGGCUCUGCUUGCAGAUGAAGUGUACCAGCAGAACAUUUAUCAAGAUGAGCGCCCGUUUGAAACAAGCAAGAAAGGUAUUUUGGAUUUCUGAAAAAUCAUGCUUUGUCAUGAACUCAUGGUUGCAACUUGACCCAAAACUACAGUUUUCAUCCGACAAUUCUCUAGUAUUUGGCGAGCCCACUAAAUCUUCCCUUAGCACCACAAACAAACAACUAUAUUAAGAGCUAGCACACACACGAUUCUCUUUCUACUGUGGUACACUAAAAGAUUGACGGUCAUUUCAAAAACUGUUGCCGACACAGCUUUUCUCAACUUUUUCCAGGUUUCGUUGACAUGGGUCCACUACUAAGCAGGGAAGUUCAGCUUGUUUCUUUCCACACUGUGUCCACAGGGUACUGGGGAGAGUGUGGACAAUGUGGUGGAUACUUUGAAAUGACAAAUCUUCCCCCAAAGGUAACAUGUCUCUGCAGCAUUUGUCAGAAUUUUUCAUUUAUCUCAAAUGUCCAGAAACAUGUUCCUAACUAUAUAAACUUAAUGAAUGUAUGAAGAUUGAAGAGUUGUAACUGAGAUAUUAGAAAAAUUAGAAAAUAUUGCAUUAUGCAUGCCCAGCUGCAAAUACAUUAGGAAAAUGCACAUCAUAAUUACUUGGCUAUGCUGCUGCCUUUUGACUUAUUUAAUUAUAGAUACUUUGCAGAAUGCAAUUUAGCCCAAUGGCCCAGAGUCUUCUUUGUCAAACUUUCAGAAACUGUAGAGCAAUCGAUAGCGUCCACUGAAGUUACAUAUUUAUGCCACCGUGAUGAACAUUUACAACUAUUAUCUCUGUGCAGUCUAAACUGUAGAGUAGUGUUGAACAAGCUCUGAAAACGUUUAAACAUGGACAGUUAAGAUUUUGACUUUAAACAAGCUAGGCGCUUAAAUAAGGCUUAUGCUAGAUUAUAUUGUACAAAAAGGCAAUUCGAAGGUUCGCUUCCUGAAUAUGAUGGUCAUGGUCCGAUGCUAACCGCUCUUCUGAUUUGAGCUUGCAGACAGUAGACGAGAUCUACAAGGUUGCAUCAAUAGCACUGAGUGGUGAGAAGUGGAUUUAAGCUACUUUGCUUUACCAAGUUAUAAAAUGGUUUUGAAUAACCCUGGCUUUUACAGAUGGGAGUGAUGGUUAACCCUCCGAAACCUGGUGACAUCUCAUAACUGAAGUUUGCUGGUGAUAUCUCUGCCAAAAUGAUUCAGAACAUGGGGAUAAGAAGAUGGUGACGGUGAACAAGUUCUGGGGAAAUAUCGAAAUUGGGGUGUAGUUUAAGCAAAAUCUAUGUUUUAUUAGACUUAUACAUCCUAUGUGAACUGUGUUGUUGGAGUAUAUAAUCAUCUGUUAGAAAAGCUCAAUAUGUUCUGUUGGAGUAUAUAAUCAUCUUGAAUAAAUGCAUGCUGUUUCUGAACCUUCCUCUGCAAAAGCAUUUGGUUGCAGUACGGCCUGGACAGCACCCCGUUCGGCGGCGUCGGGCACAGCGGGUUCGGGCAGUACCACAGCAAGUACUCGUUCGAGAUGUUCAGCCACAAGAAGGCGGUGCUCAAGAGGAGCUUCCUCAUCGAGUUCAUGUUCCGGUACCCGCUGUGGGACGAGAGCAAGAUCGGCAUGCUCGGGCGCGUCUACCGCUUUGACUACGUCUCGCUCUUCCUCGCGCUGAUCGGCCUCAGGAGAUGAAGAAAGAAACCCAGCCAGGGGAAGAGGUCGGUGGUGACUGAAUAACCGAGCAAACACAAAGUUGCCCUGCCGUUGCUGAUUCAAGUGCGUCAGCAGGAACGGUUACUUAUGGAUCCGUUUAUACUGGUUGAUUAUUGUGUAAAUGUGCCCUGUAUACGCCAAAGCCUAUACAUUAUCAGUUUAUAUGUGCCCUUCAGUUAUUUCACAAACAGAUUUCAUAAUGGAAUGUGCUUUCAGUUUGUGCUUUUCUCAUUGACAGCCGCCACGUUUGCCACUUUUACCCGGACCAACUCAUGGUGUUCCAAACAAGUUAAAGAGCAGAUAGCCAUAGUCCAUUUGCUUUCAGUUUGUGCUUUUCUCAUUGACAGCCGCCACGUUUUGCCACUUUUACCCGGACCAACUCAUGGUUAAAGAGCAGAUAGCCAUAGUCACUGGAAGUUUAGGAAUUUUCAUUGUCCUACCAGUGCUACUUAAAAUUUCCAUAAUGAAGGUAAACCAACAAAAUUUCAUUCAUAGAAAAGAGAAGGGGAAGUAGAAAAGAUUGUACAAUGUACACGUUAAGUGAUGUACUGAACUCCAAAAUGGAGGGUGCACGUUAAGUGCUAAUUUAUCUUGCAAAACAUCUAUUUCUACUUGGUGGUGAUGUACUGAAAUCCAAAAUGGAGGGUGCAUGUUAAGUGCUAAUUUAUCUUGCAAAACGUCCAUCUCAAAAACAAUUUGCACCGACACCAGCAUUGCCACUUGCGUUUGGCAUGGUCCAGUACAACAAUGCCACUUGAAUUACCAACUGCGUUGGAGCUAGGCUAAAUAAGCAAUGAUCAAGACAACACUGCCACUUGAAUUGCAUAUUACAUUAUUGGAGCUAGACUAAAUAAGCAAAGAUCAACGAGUACAAAACAAAAAGGUAUAAUUAAACCUAGAGAACACCAACUUCAUGAAUAGCAACACAAAACGCAAAGAACAAAAGUAAAAAAAAAACCUGCAAAUCCCUAAACCACUGGAAGGUCUGACAGCAUAGCCUUGGUGGAUUGACCUUCUGUCGCUGAAAUCAGAUAGCUUAAGUAACUUUUGUUGCUGGGAUAUAAGUGGUGUGCAAGUAACUUGAGUUUUGAGAACUUAACGAACUUUGUGGCAUGCAGGUAAAUAACAACUCAAUAAUAAAUGACAGUAGUUAUUACAUGAAAACACUAACUUGGAAUUGAAAAAUGGCUCACUCAUGCUACUAAUGUUUUCAGUAAAUUUCUACAUUCCAAUCUGAACAUCUCGAUUCAUUAUUCUUGAUGCUUUGGAAUUAUGUGUAUUGUCUUCUCCUGUUGAAAUUGGAGUUCAUUUUCAGCACUACAUAUCUCAAUAAAAAAUCUAGAGAAAAAGUUCUGUAUAAAAGGUCAUGAACAAAUAAUGAUGAUUUGUCUAUCUAACUAAGUAGGCUAGUAAAACAAAAUUAUUCUAACCAAGUAUUUUGAGAAAGGGGAAACAUAGUGCUUCAGUGCUAAUUUUGGAAUUUCUGAUCAAUAUGUGUGAGAUAAAGUUUGAUGACGAAAUAAGGCGCAUCUCUGUUUGUAACUAGAAAAUUUCGAAGACCAGUAAAAAUCACAAAAGCGGAAAUAUAGGUUCACAGGCACAACAAAAAUUAGUUCGAACAACGAAAUGAGUAAGAUAGAAAAGGACAAUUGUCUAGUAACCCAAUUACAGCAAUUUUGGGCUUACACAACCCAAUUACAGCUAAUCUGGGCUUACAAAGUCACCAAAAUAAGUGUCAGAAACAGGACCAUAGUCUUUUCGCUGUUUAUGACUCAGGAGUCUAGAAGACUACCAUUAAAAUGGAUUAAAACUAGUCAUCGAUAGUCUGAACAUAAACGGAAGGUGGGGUUCCUCUGUUAUCUUUCAGACCAAACAGUUCAUAAAGCAAAUAGUGCUUGAACCUGAUAAGAAUUGCCUGAAAAAAGAUUUAAAACAUAGAGUUAAAGUUGGAAAUAUAGAACUUUUUAUGGUAAUCAAAUCAAAACAGAGGUAGAUGACCAUGUGCUAACGUCGGUAACAUGGAUGAUUGGGUGACCACUGAAGUUUUUGAUGCAGUAGAAAGUAAAAAAACCUGUGUCAGGACUACAAAACAGUAGGACAUGUGUCAGGACUACAAAACAGUAAUACAUAAGUGUGAUUGAAGUAGUUGGUGCAGGUAAUGCUUUGGGAAUCAAAUUAUACAUAUGGCAUGAAAAUGAUGGAAUUGAAACAACAACUUCCUCAAAAUCAUUGAUGCGGUCUCCCACCGGAAAACAGGCAGCUAAUAGUAGACUUAUGCAUCGAGCAAAAGUUUAAUAGUACCACGGUGUGCCAUCAACACUGAAGAUUCCUCCUUGCUGCUUGAUGAUGGAUCAAUUAUGUAUACAGAAUGCUCUCUUAAAUCAAAAGCAUAACACCACCAUGACCCACGAGAAUGGAUAGGUACAAAAAUCUAGAUUUUGAUAGAAGAAAUAGUAUAUAUAAAUGAGGAAUAAAGGCUAGAUUAUGAAUCGGAAUAAAGGCUAGAUUAUGACGAAAAUGAGGACAAUUAAAAGUACACAUACCGGGCAAGUAAGAAAUCGACGACUAGGAUUACAGCUAGUACCGGAUCUACGGAUAAAAGCAUCUCUUCUGCAGCCACACUGAAGAACAAGAAGAUGUGUAGGGUCGCACAUUUCCGAGAGGUGGGGGAGCGCUGCACACGUCCAUAGAGCAGAAUGGACGGUGUGCAUAACCGCGUUGCAUCUGAGGAGGAAGAAUUGAAGGAUCUUCUAACAAUUCAUCCGAUCUGAACUGUCGAAGUCGGAUUAAACUUAUCUCGAGUACUAAGGGGCGGACGGUAUUUCAAAUAACGUGCCCGGGCGCAAAGAAAAGCCUCCGCCGCUUCCUGUGGUACCUUGCCGGAUUGCAGCCGCUGUCCGGCAGUCCCUUGCGCCCCGUGGCUCUCUUCCUCUUUCUCUCGAAGGCCACGCGGCCUGCCCUCUCGCGAAAAGCACGGCACGGAUGAUGGCGGUGCCGUCGGACGCGGCGAGGACGAUAUGGAACGUCGGCGUGGCCUGAGCGACCGAGCCAUCGACGCGGGUAGGCAGUGCCGCCGCGCGGCACCGAGUCCACUGACGGAAUUGACUGGAUCACGCAGAAGUUGCAGUUUUUACCAACGUACGUGCCGAGCGGCCGCCGGCCGGUCUAUGGCGGCUGCCAGCGGCUCCCGGCUUGGCUCCACAAACUCGUCUUGUCAGUUGUCAACCUAGAAAUUUACGAUAACGCUGAGAUCGGAAACAUCAGCCGCCUUGAUUUUUUUAGAGGGAAUAGUUUCAUUCCAUUAAACCAUGGACACAGCGAGAUCACUGGCCAACAAAACCUCUAUGCCGUCCGGCUGAUCCUCCCAGAAUUGGUUGGAACCCGCGGGGCACUUGCAACCAUAACCAGCUAAAGCGUGAGCUACUUGAUUACAAAUUCUAUAACAAUGGUUACACGAGAAGGAAGUAAAACAAGAAGCAGCCGUUUCUUUGAUUUCGUGGAUCAAUCUUCCCACUGCUGAGAGCCUGAAGCUGUCAUUCGCGAGUGCAAAUUUUAUCAGAAGUGCAUCUGUCUCCAGAAUAAUCCUCAUAGCAUGUUAGAUUUAACUGUACUUUUACAAAAAAAAUCGCUUUUGAAUCCUCAUAGCAUGUUAGAUUUCGCAUUUGAACUUGCUCCUCCAAUUCAUCUGAUCUGAGCCGCAGGACUCGGAUCGGACGGCUCUCGGGUAUCCAAAGGUACCGUCCACCCGGUCGGUAUCUGAAACAAUGUCCACCCUGGGGCCCCAAGAAACGCCGCCCUUGCUUCGUGUCGCGCGUCGCCGGAGCGCCACCGCCGCCCGACCGUCCCGCCGCCGCCUCGCGUGCGUGCAUAUCGACUAAGUGCCACUGCCACGUAUCUGUGCCUGUCGAGGAGGUAGGUGACAGAAUGGUGAGAACUGGACUAGCUGCAGAGAUAGAAGACGCAUGGCGAGAGCGAAACGAUGGCUCUUGUGUCCGCCGCCGUUGCGCGUGCUCCGUGUGCGUUCAGGUGCACGCCUGCACGGUGAGGACUGGACGCCACCUGGGCAGGCCGUUCAGUGAGUGAGAGUGAGCGGCCCACCCGCCGCCGAUGGCGUCGGCAGAGGGCAGGCAGUGCCGCCACGCCCGCACCGAGCACGGAUGUCAUUUGAUGCGAUGAAGCUGCAUAGCCGAUCAAGCAGAACGGAGUAAGUUCAGUAUCGUCGGGCUGGCUUGCAGAGCGGCCGCUGGCGCGGUGAGCUAACUCGUGCCGGAGUUAUUGAGGACGCUGGGCUUUGGAAAUGUCGUCGGCCGUCGGUCAUCUUGACGGCGGGCCGUGAUUUGGGCGUUCUGAAAGGAUACAUUAUCUGCAGAAAUACAGUUAUCUGCAGAACUACAUGCGGGAGGAGAUACAUGUUUGUUCAGAACUUCAGAUAGCACGUAGUUCCCCUAAAAUUUCACACUUCAGCCUUUUUUUUCCGCCCUACAUCUUCAUAGCGUGGCAACUUUCACAUUUGAACUAGCAAUGAAAGAUUUCCCGCUGGAGCAUGUGUUGAUCUUGAUGGCUUUCCCAAAUUUGUUGUCUCUUUGUUUGGCCUUGGACCCAAAUUACGUGAUUCGAGAUUAAUCCUUUCAGAAAAGAGACUAAUGUGCUGUACGCAUCCCAGAUGGAAGGAAAAUACAGGUUAUCUGGCAUAUUGGUUUACAGACAUAGUAAGCUCUGUUUGGCAUGCUACAAACUUGAGUUGGGCCUUGGCGUUGGGUAACCGAAGUUUAGAGUAGUCAAUUUUUAUUUUGUGCAAUUUGGUGAAAAUUAACAAACGCAGCGGCGAAAGCGGGGAAAACCCCCCAAGCCCCAACAAAGACGCCGACUCGCCGCACAGCAGAAACACAGAACCGCAGGUUCGCAGCCUGAACAAAGCGCCGCCUCUGCCUUCCCUUCCUCCGGCGCGCCAGCUGCCAUGGUGAAGCGGUGGCUCCCCCUCGAGGCCAACCCUGACGUCAUGAACCAGGUACUCCACCUCAUCCUCCCUUCCGGUACCCGUGGUUGGUUCCGCUUCCGCCUCGGUCUUUCCUCGCUCACGGCGGCGCCCUGCCCCUUCACGAUCGGCGCAGUUCAUGUGGGGACUGGGGGUCCCCGAGGACGUGGGGUUCUGCGACGUGUACGGCCUCGACGGCGAGAUGCUCGCCAUGGUGCCCCAGCCUGUGCUCGCCGUCAUCUUGCUCUACCCCCAGGUGGAUCCCCUGUCCCUAGUUGGCCCUGCGCUACCUGAGGUUGCUUGAAUCUUCUGCGCGGAGGAGCUUAUUAAUCUGACGUUUUGGUGGGCAGGACCGGAUCAAGGAAUCCCAGUCUUCGACUGCCUCACCGGUGGAGACCAAGGUGAGCCUGAAUUGGAUGAUGGUUCAGUAUUUUUUUUUUUUGAACUGACAAUUGUUCAGUAGUUGGAUUCCAUUGAAGAUGCCCAACGCCUUUAUUGAUCCGAUGCAGGGACACUGGCAAAACUAUUUUUCUUUUUUUGUAGGACAAAAAAACUAUUUUUCUAACUUGUAUAUUGAAAUUUGUUGUGUGAUUUUGCUAUUUAUAUUGUAGGUGGACACCAAUCAGAAUAGUUUUAUUGUCUGUACAUACUGUUGUCAUAUACUUUAGAUUACUUAUCAAACUUAUAUUAUGAAUGGUAAUAUUAUUGAAAUGUAAGCAUGCUCAGGUUUGUUUUGAUGAACCUAACUUGCUUUUUUUCUCUUAAAUAAAAAUCUGGCAGUUUUAUCUUUCUCGGGUGGUUUUGAUAUACAUCAGUAGCUUGAAGUUUCAAUAGAUUUGAGGUUUACAGAGUUAGAAGUAUCAAUUGGUAGCCAAAUUAGCUCAUCGAUGAUGCACUCUUAGCGCAUAAAUCUAAGGUUUCAGCUUCAUCAAAUACUUGAAUCUGUGUGUGAGAUAAUUGGUAGCCAAAUUAGCUCAUCGAUGAUGCACUCUUAGCGCAUAAAUCUAAGGUUUCAGUUUCAUCAAAUACUUGAAUCUGUGUGUGAGAUAAAGGUGGGUUUUACGAGCUCAAGAGUAUAGUUAUGCUUUUUUCCUCAUUAGUCCUAAAAGGCUAAAAAAAUGAAGCAGGAGCCGAGUAAGAAGGUAUAUUUCACAAGGCAGACGAUUGGAAACGCCUGUGGAACAGUUGGUAUUAUUCAUGCACUAGGGAAUGCUGCUUCCAAAAUCAAGCUAGGUAUUCCUUUUUCCUUCCAGGAGUUUUGAGCUCUUUUUCGUUUUCAUCUACAUGUUUUGGAUAAUCAUCUAAUAUGGGAGAGGUUAUCUGGUGAAACUCCAAACGAUUGUGAAAAGUGAAAACUAAUUGCCACAAGUAAUCCCACAUACUUGGCUUAAUCAUGUAAAAUUAUUAGUCUAGCUGCAAAGGACAUAUCAAUGUUCAGGUCAAUUUCCUUGUCGGUGUUACAAUCCAUUUGGUCGCCGACAGGCAACAGUAAUUGCUUAUAAAAAAAAGGCAAUAGUAAUUUGCAAUGCUCUAAAAAACAAACAGUAAUGUUCAAUUCUGCAUGAUCCUUAAGACCAUGCGAUCCUUCAAAAGCAACCAUUUUACUGUAGCUACCUUUCACUUUUAGUGAGAUCUGAUCAGACUUUGUUUGCAGGUGAGGGGUCAUGUUUUGAUAGAUUUUAUAAACAAACUGCUGAUAUGGAUCCAGUCCAGGUUAGUGUCGUGUGUUACAAUUCAAAGGCUUCCAUGAAGAGGGAUUGCCUCUGUGUUCAACUAACAUAUUGGAUGCUUCAUAAUUUCAGCGUGCUGCAUUUCUCGAGGAGGACCAAGAAAUGGAGGAUGCUCAUUCUGCUGCUGUUUCUGCUGGUGACACAGAGGUAAUAGCAUCUGCCUAGUACAUGAAUAUUUGCCCAAGAUGUAUGGGUGUUGCUCCGUUGUUAGUUACUCGUGCCAUUGCUUCUUUUUUUCCUUAUUGCCAGUGCUUCUUAAAAUCAAAAUGGUUCCCAGUUAUCAGCGACCAUCUUGGAACUAACUGCUAACACCAUUUUGCUCAUCUUAAAAAAAAAACAGUUCGCUUACCAUCAAGAGUUACAGAUUUGCAGCCAGAUUUUCUGACCAUGGGCUCACAUGCCAUGUUUUCCUUGCCAUCGUGUGAUUGCAUUUGUCAUUCAGAAUAUCUGCAUUCUGUGUCAUUGUGAGUGACAAUUGAGUAUUUUUCGUUCAUUCACAGUAUCAUCUAAAGGGUUGUUAUUAAAGAACUGAGAAUCACAAUUAUUUAAAACUGUGGUGGAAGAUACACUUAUACAAUAUAGGCUCCUCAGCCUUGAGCUUGUUUCAUCUUUGGUUGCCAUCUGACAGAUCUUAUUUUACUGUGCAGGCCAAGGAUGGAGUAAUUGAACAUUAUAUUUGUUUCUCUUGUGUCGAUGGUAUGUAACACACAAUCGCCUACCAAGACACCGUAGUUGGAUUUAUAGAAAAUAUCCAACCAUUAGUCUGUUGAUCACUUCUCACAACCCUUUCUUUAUCCAGGAGACCUUUAUGAGCUUGACGGAGGUAACUCGCGGCCAAUAUCCCAUGGCCCCUCGUCCCCUGAUACCUUGUUGCAGGUAAGCUGAUGCACUCAUGCUAUUUCUUUCAUCAGCCACAGCCCACAUUAUGUUCCCGGCUUGUGAUUUUGGACAUCUUUCUGUGCAGGAUGCUGCAAAAGUCAUAAAAGGAAGACUUGCACUGUAUUCUGAGUCGAACAACUUCAAUGUCAUGGCUCUUUCAGGCAGGUGAUAAUGAAUACAUAUAGCUCGAGAUAUCAACCCGUAAAGGUUCUCGUUUGCUGCAGCCUCAGUUGAGACAUAGAAGCAGAAUUUAAAAUAUUCUUCUCCCGCCUUUGUUUUAAUAUUCAAACACGGGGAAAACGAAAUAAAACGGUGAGAGCAAGUUGUCUAUGCAGAACUCGUUGGUGCCCUCACUUUGUGUCCGUACAUAGAAGAUUCAGAUUCAGAGAACGGCAUUUUUCUGGUGAAGAAAUGCAUGGUACUAACGGAGGUUGGCAGCUUGAUGGCAGUCUCAUGCAUGUCGCAUGCGGCAGGCGCUUUUGUAGCGGUGGCGGAAGCUGAUGGUUGGACGAGUUGCGCGCGGACUGACCUCCAUAGUCCAUCCUCCUCCCCCACCUGCCGAUGGCAAAGCGGCGAGGCACGGGGUCUCUGCUGUUUGCCAUUGAGCUUUGGGGGCGGCAGGAGAUCGAGGCGUUGCCGGCACGGGGCCGAGCUCGCCUUCCCGAGAACGAAUUUCAGAGGGACGGCUGCCGAACACCAGCACGCCAGCACCCGCAGGGGACAAACACAUUAUAGACAUAUAUUCCCAGCUGUGCUGGCCAUAGCUUCGCCACGUUGUUCGUCUCUCCCAUCGAGCUGCAUACGUGUCCGGCGACUGGGGAGCUGAUGUUCAUCCAAAUUUCCAAUCAGGCUACUCGUCCGAACCCGGCACAGCCUGCACUGCGGGCAAGUCUGGUUCACCGCUCACCGCGGUGGGCGCGUCAGGGGCUCGUCGCCAUCCGGCCAAGAUACCUUUCCCAUUCCCGGAUAGCCCUAUUUCCCCUCUGCAUGCUUUGUCGUCUGGGUUGGAAAAUAGACGACCUUACAUAAGACGACGCUCGCAUGACCUGAAUGCAUGGCCAACAAGCCAUGGCAUCCAAAGUAGACAUCCAAAUACGAAUAGCAUUGCAGAUUGAAACUCUUAGCGAAUCCUGAACACUGCGUUUUUAUUUAUUCCUCAUUAUAAACAUGACAUCCACCAUGCAGUACAUCCGAUCCGCCACUCCGAUCAAGAAACGCACUUACUACACAGCAAGCACCCGGACACAUGCACAUACAAAGCACAACAUAUCAUAACGACUAGCCAGCUAGCGCGGCGACCCCAGACGCUACGGCGGCUGCCGUAGGCCCAUGCCGCGGCGCGGCGCGGCGGUCGUGCGCUGCCGCCUUCGCCCCGCACCGGACACGCAUGACACGCGCGAUCCGCUUGCAUAUUAUGCUUUUCAAGACCCCUGGGCCUGGUCGAUGCGCUGCUGCGCCGCAUCCUUGAUGUCGCGGGCCUUGGACGCCAGCCGCGCCUUGGCGUGGUCCAGCUGGUCGGCGCCCGGCGGGUGCUUGCCCGUCAGGUACUUGUACAUCCACGAGAACACGGACAGCGCGGCCACGCCGAGGCCGCCGGAGGUCACGAACCCGGCCGCCAUGAGCGCCAGCGCGAUGGCCGCCGGCACCAGCACCGGGCUGAAGAUCACCAGCACCGGGGUCGCCACGGUGAGCGCGAUCACGGUGCCGGCCAGGAUCAGCCCGGACAGCACCAGCAUCGACCCGCCGGCGGUCGCGGCCGUCGCCGCCUUCAGGGCCGUCAUCAUGGCGCCCUGCCUCUGCUGCGUCUCGCCGACGCCGCGGUGCAGGUCGCCGUAGCCCCCGCCGCCAACCCCCAUCCCGCCCCGGUGCUGAUCGGCCAUGGCAGGCAAGCAGAGCAAGAUAGCUACCGCGCGCGCAAGAUGCCCAAGAGCGCUACUGCCACUACUGGUACUACGAAUGAGAUGGACGAGGGCAUGAGGGAGCUGGGUUUAUAGCAGGAGGGGCGCGCGUGGGGAUGCGCGGGGGGGCGAGCGCGCGCGGCCGCGUGGGACGCAUGCGGGGCUCGUGUCGGGCGCCGCGCGACACCUGGGGUGGUGUCGCGGCACUCGCCAUCUCGGCCAUUUCCUGAGGCGAUACGUACGAGGUUCUGCGGACGCCGUGCCCAUCGUUGGAUCGGCCGCUCGACGCCGGUGGCGGUGGACUAGGUGGAGGCCGCAUCUGGCGUGGGCCGCGCUUCCACGGGCCGUGGUGAUUUGAGCCUUCCUUCUCCUCCGUAUAUAGGUGGGGCUGGGCUAGUCUUUGCUAGAGACUGUCGACUGACGUGGCAGGCCGGCAGUUCAUUCAACAGCGAUCUGCGUGCCCGUUGGCCCAUUCACCUCAAACCCAAAAAAGUCGUAUAAAAUUCAUUCCCAUUUCCUACCAUAAAUGGAAUGUUUGGUAUGGUUUCCGCUAAAAAUAACAAAUGUUUGGUAUGGGCUGAUUGCCUGAUUCUGAUGCUGGCGUGGAAAGUCAGAAGACCUUGGAAAUUGAAAAGUUGUGACUAGGAUUCUAGGCAAAAGUUGGACAUGAAUCAACGGCUCGCUUUGAAGCCGUUCAAACAAUGCCGUGGCCACAUUAGGUCCGUCACCUAGGCUAGUUUAGUCAGCAAGCUUACUUUCUCGGAUGGAAUCAUAGAAGCUACUCGCAGCAUCAAGCUUUUGCCGGUCCCCUAAUUACAGCACUCUCCCUUGUCCCUCCCCAUUCUAUACCCCAACUAGCCCACUUUGCCACGCUGCUCAAAUUGGCCAGCCUGAUUUCGGCUGCGAGCAAUUUGAGCCAAGUUUGUUCUUCGGUGGCUCGAAACUCUUCUUGUAGAGGGCAAGUUGGUCGCCAAUUGGCCGCUGUCCAAGUCCAACCUUCCUUUACGCAACGCCAACGCAUUGUCACUGCAACCAAAAUUUGAGGCACAACCUUUCCCACUUCAAAGCUCAAUCCAAGCGUGCCUUUGCCCCUUCCUUUCCCUUUUCACUACUCCUUUUUGCUAAUAAUAAAAAUACUUGCAGAGCACAUCAUUCCUCGUGGGGCCACUAUUCCCAAAACAGUGGCCUACUUUUGCCCAUGACCUGUGCUGAAUCAGGCGCCAUACACAUCGGCCGGCGGCAAGUAGAGGAUAAUCAUAUACCCGCUUUCUCCUUUCGAUCCCACCUUUCCACCAAGAAUACCGAACAAGUUGGAAACCCAUCCCAUAUACUAGUAUUCUACUAUAUUACUAUGCACACUCCGGCCGAUGGCCCCCAGCUUCCAGCUGUUGCGCAACACGACGACACUGUGCUGGUCGCUGCCUGGGAUCAGUGGCGGCAGUCGUAACCCAAUCUAAUCCUCAUGGUCAGUGUGACGAUCAACUGACGGACCGGACGCAUGCUCAUCGCUAUCGCGGCGAUGAAUCUUUUACGUGGCGGAUAGGCACGGGGGCGUCUCGAGAUUUUUAUGGUUCGUUAGGAGUAAAGACGGAGGGCUCCCGCUUCUUUCGCUGCUUGCGUGCUGCGUCUUCUACCUCUCGUCCUCUCCAGCACGAUGGCGACGCUGACGCCCUCGCGCCACGGCCCCCCUCGCCCACUUGCUUGCCCCCCACCGAGCUAUCGCCGCUGCAUGAUCUUUUCCUAAUGUUUUAGGAGAAGGAUUAGUUAAAUCCUGCUGCCGUGAGCAAGCCUGCUGCUACGUGAGAACCCGGCCCUGGAAUUCCCGUUUCAUUCAGCCGGCAGAUUUGGAUUUGGAUUUGGGUUUCGGGUCAUGAGUUUCUGGUCACUGUUCAGUUGACUUGCGCUCCUGUUUAGCCGCUUGAUAUUUAUCAGACGAUGCCGCACUCAUUGGGUGCUGACGAAGACCAAAGCGGAUUGUACUAUUUUUUUGUACAUUUUUUGAAAAUCCUAUCAGAAGCACAAGCACUCUGACAAUGACGCGAACACCGAACGGAAUAACAUUGGGGGCCCAAAAUUCGCAGACAAGACACUUGAUUACACACGGCUUCUUCCACUUGGGCGAGUUGCACGGCGCAACAGCACCAUCCAGAGCUCGUCCGGACCCCCAAUUGCGAGUCGCCCCGCCAAGUUGCCCCCGAUCUUAUCGCGUUCCAUCCGGCGGAGCUUUCACCGGGAUGCGCGCCCCGCCCCCCGCCGUCGCAUUCGCGUC